GAGUGUUUAACUGCAUGCAUGUAUGUGGCACCAUGGGCAUGCAGGUAUCAGAGAGGCCAGGAGAAGGUUUCAGAACUCAUGGUGUUAGAGUUACAGAGAUGGUUGUGAGCUGCCAUGUGGGUGCUGGAAACUAAAGCCAGGCUUCUGCAAGAACAGUAAGUGCUCUUAACUACUAAGCCAAUGGCUCUAAACCUUCCUAAGGCUGCGAACCUUUAAUUCAGCUCCUCAGGUUGUGGUGACCACAACCAUAAAAUUAUCCCAUUGCUAUUUCAUAACUGUAAUUUUGCUACUAUUGUGAAUCACAAUGUAAAGAACUGUGUUUUCCAAUAGUCUUAGGCAAUCCCUGUCAAAGUAUUGUUUGAUAGCCCACCCACCCACCCACCAAGGAAUCGUGACCCACAUGUUGAAAACCGCUAUAGUAAGCCAUCUCUCUAAUUUGAAAUGUAUUUAUUUUUGAAUUUUGUUGUUAGUCCAGGUUGAUCUCAAACUUGCAACCAUUCUAGUCUCUUGAACACUGAAGCUAUGAGUCUGUACCACCAUGCCCAGACAGAUCAACUUAUUCAAUGGCCUUAAAAGACUAUAACCAAGUCCAGUAGAAUACAUCUUUAUGAUGAGAUCAUGGAAUUAAAGUCCAGAGAAAUCUUUGCCAUAUUCCAUGGACUCAGAAAUGCACCUUGAGCCUUGGCCAGUGGAUUUAAAUAAACAUGCAAUUUAUCACAGAGAGAGCAAAAGGACAAGUAGGGUCUGGGACAUAGCUCAGUGGCAGAACAUUUGCCUAGAGUGUUGAAGCCUUGUGCUCCAUUCUCAGUACCAUAGAGACAGAGGGCAGAGACAGAGAGGAAGGGCUUGGGAAGGGUAUAAUGGGAGGAGAGGGAAUUUAAAUGGUCAACACAGUCCACCACAGCUACAGGAAACCCUUAAAAGGAUACACAAGCCUGUAAUUUAGUGGGAGACUCUUUUGCUGAGCUAAAACUAAUUUUUUAAAAUAUAUAUAUAUAAUGAUAGACAGCAAUAAUUUCAUUGUAUAAUUGGGUUAAAUGUACAUUUAAUGUACUCUCUUCCUUCAAUAUAGCUUAUCUUUGAGGUUCUGUGGAAUCUGAGUUGCCAUAACAACCUGAGUAAAUCCUUCAUUACUGUAGACAUCUGUAGCUAUUUAUAAAUGCAACAGCUGGAUCUGUCCAGUUAAAUUUCUUUUAGAAAACACCCAAGUAAUUUUCAUUUACUCUGGGUAAACCUAAGGAAAAAUUCAGGUAGCUUUAAAACUAAAAUCCUUAUUCCAAUAUUUGUAUCUUAAAUACUAAAAUGAGCUAUAAACUAUAGAGAAUAAAGCAGAGAGCUGGAAACCUUCCAUUUCAUUUUGUUGUUUUUCUUCCUCAUCUCCAUGUGUGUGCCGUGUGUUAGCACCUGCGGAGGUCAAAAGAAGCUAUGUUAGCAAAGCAUUCUAAACUAUCAACUCUCCUCAACAGAAAUAUGCUUAUUUUAUUUUUUAUUUAAGGAUUUUUUUCUUAUGUAUAUGAUGUUCUGCCCUCAUGUUUGUCUAUCACUUGCAUGUCCAGUGCCCACGGAGGUCUGAAGAGGGUGUUGGCUCCUCUGGAGCUGGAAUUACAGACGGUUGUGACCUACCAUGUAGGUGCUGGGAACUGAACAGCUCUCAAAGAGCUGUGAGUGCUCUUGGCUGUUGAUCCAUUGAUUUUUAAUUAUGUGUGUACGUGCGUGUUCGGGAGCAUGGAGUUGAGGAGAGAGCAUCAGAUAGAUAUACCUCGGAGCUGGAGUUACAGGCCUGUGUGAGUCACCUGACAUGGGAGCUGGGAACCAAACUCAGGUCCUCUGGAAGAGCAUCAUUUGUUCCUAAUCACUGACACAUCUCUCCAACCUCUAAAAUAUUCUUGUUUGAAAUGAAUGCCGUCUCUCCAGUGCUACAUAAUAUAAGUCAAUACACAAAGACAUAAACACUGGUGUUUAUAGGAAACAUUUAGCAGCUGUGAGAGCCUGAUUAAAAAGCAAUAACAGCACAGGUAUUAUGGGUUUGAGCCUUUAAACGGAACACUCAUGAAGCAGGGAGACUGAGUUUGAGUUCCACCUGUGUCACAGAUAAGACCAGGUCAAGAGAAACCUGGAGCCAAUUAAAUUGGUCAGGCCUGGUGUGCCAGCCUCAGCCUCCCUGGUGGGUCUAGCAGCCUGUCGCUUACAUGCUUACAUGCUUACAUGCUUACAUGCUUACAUGCUACAUGCUGGUGGGUCGCUUACAUGCUUUGCCCUAAGGGGCCUUGGAGACGGUUUUCUUGUGGCUAUUCAUGUCUCUGAUCUCAGUGCUGUCCUAAGUGUCAGCUCCAGACAGGUAUUCAGGGUGAUUUUGGAAAGCCUAAGGGUACAGUCCAGAGUUCACACUGGCCAGGUCAUUAUGUCCAUUCAUAACAAGUGGCAGAAUAAGGAACAUGUGAUUGAUGCCCUGUGGAGAGCUAAGUUCAAGCUUUCUGGCUGCCAGAAGAUCCACUUGUCAAAGAAGAAGGGGUUCACCAAGUUAAAUGCAGAUCAAUUUGGACAUGACAGCUAAGAAGAAGCUUAUGCCUAAUAGCUUUGGGGUCAGCUAUAGCCCAUCCAUGGUCCUAAGACCUGCGCUCCUGAGGGCUUCCAUGCUGAGUUCUGCCUCCCCACACUCCACAUCAUGCUCAGUAAUAAAUCUCAUAGCCAAUCUAGAAGAAAGAGAAGAGGGGUGGGGGAGGCUGGGGAUAUAACUCCCUUAUAGGGUAUUUGCUUAGGACAUAAGAAGUCUGUGUUUGAUCCACAAGACCGCAUAAAUAAUGUAGUUCACAUUAAUCCAGGCACUUGGGAGGUAAAAGCAGGAGGCUCGGAAGGUCAAGGUUAUCCUCAACUAUGUACUGAGUUUGAGUCCAGUCUAGGGGACACAAGACCUGUUUCAAAAAAAAAAAUGAGUAAAUAUUUCCCAUUUGAAUCCUUCCUCCUUUCAAGGUGAUUGUUUUGGUCACUAAACCACAGGAGUUAUGUUAAAGAGAUGUCCUCUUUACUGAUUCUAGCUUCUGAGUCUAUGAAAUUUUUUGCUUUAUUUUUGUUGUUGUUGCUGUUUUAAAAAAAGUUCUCUCUAUGUAACCCUGGAUGUCCUGGAACUCUCUUUGUAGACCAGGCUGGCCUUGAACUCACAGCUAUCCACCUGCCUCUGUGUCCUGAGUGCUGGGAUUAAAGGCAUGUGCUACCAUGUCUGGCCCAGAUAUUUGUGAUUUUUUUUCUUUUUUUUUUUUGUGGACCUGGAAAUAUGGUUUAACUCUUAACAUAGUUCACUACUCUCACAAAGGACCUGGGGUUUUGUUCCCGGUAUCCACAUCACAUGGCUCACAGCCACCCAGUGGCUUCUGGCCUCCUUAGGCUCACGCGUGUGCACGCGCACACACACACACACAAAUGAAGAACGAAAAAUUAUAUUAAAAGUUGUUUUGUCUUGCAGCAUGUAGCAGCCAAGUAGCAGCUCCUCGGAGAGUGUCUGUCCCCACAAACAGCCUCAGAAACUUCUGGUUUAACAAACUCUGCUUCAGGUUAUGACUGCUGCAUUUGGGGCCAUCUAUAGCUUUAUCCCAUAGAAAACAGUUUUAAACCACACAUAAGUGACUAAGUAACUGUACUGUUAAUGAACUUUCUUCCUGGGUUGAUAGCAGUGUUCUGUCCCUCUCUCCUCUCAAACUCUGUCCAACUCUAACUUCUCUCCCUAGGUAUUCAAGGCUCUGGCCCCAAGUGAGCUACCGCACAGCCAGGACUCACAGUUUAAAAGUCUAUUGUAUUUUAGAAAUAAUCAACUAACUUUCACAAAAAUUAAAUCUCAUAGUUUUUUCAUGUAUAAUCAAAACAAUGCUUAAAUUUUGCAGAUAUUGUACAGUAACAUACAAAAAUUAAUUAAUUAAUUAAUUAAUUAAUUAAUUAAUUGAGACAGGGUUUCUCUGUGUAGUCCUGUUGUCCUGGAACUUGCUCUGUAAACCAGGGUGGUCUCAAACUCAGACAUCUAUCUGCCUCUGCCUCCCAACUGUUGGGAUUAAUUAUGUGGCCACCACCACCAGGAAAAACUAUUUUCUUUGAAAGAAAAAUCCAUGGCACAUGGCACCUGGCUGGUGUCAGACGGCAGGAGGAUCGUUGAAGGUGUGCAGUCAGGUUUAUACAGAGUUCCAGGCCAGCCAGGCUUUGUCAUGAGAACAAGGCACCCAAAGAACUAAUCUGCAGACCAUGCAGACAGCUCCUAGCAAUGUUAUUUUCAAACUAGGAAGACUGACUACAGAUGCCUAAGAACCAUCCUCCUGCAUUCUUAUAUAAAACACACUCAGUCCCUAAAGCCUUUGCCCUUUCACCUGUGUCUCUGAAGGAACAUCGUGACAACAGUCCUGAGAAGCCAUUCCUAUGCCUGGGACUGCAACCUUGGGUGUCCUCAUGGGAAGUUCACACGACCUUCAGUUUUAUAAUCGCUUCCCACAUGUUCAGUCUAUUCAGCAACUUGACAGAGGCAGAAGCAUGUCCAUUUCAGCUGCCCUUACACUAAAGGCAAUUAUUAGGCAAAAAACCUGAAGAGGUUCAGACUUUAAUUUUUUUAAAUGUAAUUUCAUCCCUCCUGUCCCUCCCCACACCUGAUCCCAAACUUCCCCAGUCCCCUCUCCAUCCCCCUCCCUCCCAGUCCCCUCCCUCCAUCUGCCUCUUAUGAAUAUUUUAUUCCCCCUUCUAAGUGAGAUUCAAGCAUCCUUGCUUGUGCCUGCCUUCUUGUUUAGUUUCUUUGGGUCUGUUGCGUGUACCAUGAAUAUCCUGUAUUUUAUGGCUAGGAUCCACUUAUAAAUGAGUACAUACCACACAUGUCCUUUUGGGACAAGGUUACUUCACUCAUGAUAAUAUUCCCAAGAUCCAUCCAUUUGCCUGCAAAAUUCAUAAUGCCUUUGUUUUUAAUAGCUGCAUGGGCAUUCUAUUGUAUAGGUACAGCACAUCAGUUGAGGGAAUCUAGGUUAUUUCCAGUUUCUGGCUAUUACGAAUAAAGCUGCUAUUAACAUAGUUGAGCAAGUGUCCUUGUGGGAUGGUGUCCAUGAGAAUGAAUGGAAAUAUACAACUGACGGGGGCCAGGGACAUCUCCAGGAUAAGGCAGAGACCUGGGAUAAGGGAGGCACCCAAGAAUCAAUGGGGGUAUCCUUAGCUAUGAUUCAAGCAUUGGGGAUAUGGAACCUGAAGGGCCACUUCCUAUGGUCAGGCAGGAACCCCAGUGGAGCAAUAGGGACACCAACCCAUCCACAUAAUUUUGACCCAACAUGUAUCCUGACUACAAAUAAUGCAGGGACGGGGAAUGGAGCAGAGACUGAGGGAAUGGUCAACCAGUAACUGGCCCAACUUGAGACCCAUCUUAUGGGUAAGCACUAAUCCCUGACUAUUAACGAUACUCUGUUAUGCUUGCAGACAGGAAUCUAGCAUGGCUGUCCUCUGAAAGGCUCCCCCUAGCAACUGACUCACACAAAUGCAGAUACCCACAGCCCAAAAACAGUAGAUGGAGCUUGGAGACUCUUAUGAAAGAAUAGGAGGAAGGAUUGUAAGCCUCCAAAAGGAUAGAAACUCUACAAGAAGACCAACAGUCAACUAACCUGGACCCUUGGGCUCUCAGAGACUAAACUACCAACCAAAUCACAUAUAUGGGCUGGACCUAGGCCUCCCCACAAAUAUGUAGCAGAUGUGCAGUUUGGUCUUCAUGUGGUUUCACCAACAACUGAGGCAAGGACUAUCCCAAAAGCUGUUGCUUGUAUGUGGGAUAUGUUCUUCUAGCUAGACUGCCUUGUCUGGCCUCAAUGGGAGAGUAUGCGCCUAUCCUUGCACAGAGUUGAUGUACCAGAGCAGGGAGAUAUGGGGGGGGGGUGUAAUCUGGUCAAAGAAGAAGAGGGGAAGAUGGGAGAAUGAUUGUGGGAGGGGUUAUGGGAAGGGGGCAAUGAGCAUGAUGUAAAGUGAAUAUGUAAAACAAAUAAAUGUAAUUUCAUGUGCAUAAGUGUUAUUUCUGCAUGUGUAUGUAUAUGCACCAUGUGUAUGCCUGGUGUCCUCAGAGAUCAGAAGAGAGAGUUGAACCUCUUGAAACUAGAGUGACAGAUGGUUGUGAGCUGCUAUGUGGAUGCUGGGAACCAAACCUGGGUCUUCUGCAAGAGCAGCAAGUGCUCUUAAUGCUGAGCCAUCUCCCCAGUCCCAAGCCUAAGACUUUUAAAAUAUUCUGCCUAGUAGCUUAAAGAGGUGCUUACAUAAACUAUAUCAUCCCCUCUUCACAGCUCAUGUUUCUAUGAGUAAAGGAACACUACUGUUCUCAUUUUAAAAAGCAGGAAACAAAUCCAGCUGGGCAGGUUUGCCCCUGGUGAAAGACGCAGAUCACUGGUGAUGCUAAGCCAGUUCCCGGACAUCUUUUUUAUCCUUUGCAACCUUGCUGUUUUACAAGUGACAAGGACAGCAAGUGGGCAAUGGGCUUGGACAGCCUUUGGACGUCACAGAUCUGGAACAACAGAAUCAAUUACCAUCUGUUCUCUCCGAAAGCAGAUCCCAACAGUAUGGUACACCGGACUGACACCAUCAUUUUAAUUAUCAACUAAAGUAUCAAACUUAUGUUUCUUAUACUUAAGCAUUUCCCCCACAGGGAGGGAAAAGAACAUUAAAUUCCACUCGUUCUACUCAUGGCCAGCCAGUGUUUAAAGCAGAAAUAUUUUAAUUGUUGAGCACAUUUAUAAAUGUCUAUAGGGUAUACCUUCAGAAAUGUGAACAGUUUCUAGUUGCAGAACACUUAAUCCUGGUAUAAGGCCAAAUUAAAAGAACAAGAGAAGGUGACCCCAAUGUUGGCAUUCUUCCUGUUAACAAUAGAGCAAACACUCAGAAGCUGUCCUAAAUCUCAGCUAACCCCCGAAAAAUCUAACUUGACAACUACACAACCAUAUUGCUGCUCUCACUCUAUAAUGCCUGUUUAUCUCAGUUGGUACUGUACAGAGCCUCUUUGGUCUUUUACACACACGCACCACACACACACACACACACACACACACACACACACACACACACACACACACACACAUGCCCCCACUUGUCUACCUCCCUUAAUGAGUCCUUCAUUCCAACUUUACUCUUCUGUAUCCAUCUUUAGCUGGGCUCUUUGUCACCUUCCAGACUCCUUCCUGAAGCUGCUACUUCAACUCCCACUUCAAGCUGCGGCUUCAUCAUCUUGAGCAUAAAGUGAUCUUUUUCCUCUGUCACCUUUCAAUCCCUCAUUAGCAGAGUGCAUGUCAGGUAGGCAUAGGUAGCUGGUUGACUGGCUGAGUUCACACUAAGCAGCACACUUCUGGGGAAUAACUGAUCUGUUUUAGACAGGCUAGGGAAGUUGUUGAGAAAAGACUAUGCUCACAUAUAUUUAAAGUGUGCAUCAUGAGCAAAGGAAUUCCUUGUGAGAGUGAGUCAGACCUAAGCAGUAGUCUUGCCAACUUAGAUAAGCAGAUUAUCACGCCGUAUGAAUAACAGCUCUGAAGACCUAAUCGACAGCAAACUCCUGGCAGUCACAUAGUUCAGCCUACCCUACCCCAACCCUGCACCCCCCUCACUUUUAGCUAUGAGUAAGCACCCUUGCCCGGGUCCUACAGCUCUCAAGAUAAAUUUCCUCCCUUGCUGUAGAGGAUUUCGGCUAUUGCUCUGUUUCCAUCUCUCCUCACUUCAUAAAGGAAGGAAGCCACGUCUAUUGUAUCAGAAAAGUGCCUACCUGGACCUCAGCUACCCAAUACCCACAGUGUUUAUAUCUAAAUGAAAAGAUAUCUUAUUAUUUUGGUCUCAUAGCAGUAUCCACUGGAAAAGAGGGCUUAAAUGUAGAAAUACUUAUAGAGAGAUAAAACAGCUUUCUUCUUUUUUCUGGUAAAUUCUUUCCUGCUUUCCAGUUGAUUAUUAAAAUAUGAAGCUUAGCUAAGAUGUAAAAUAUCUCAUAGAAUACAAUCAAUUAUAUAAACUGCUUUGGAUUUGCACUUUAAAUAUCUUGUUCUACCAUUGGAAUCAAGCCAAGGGGUAAAUGCUUCAAGUUCAGUUAUACUUUACUUGAUAAUGACAAUUCGGGCAUCUAUUAGGUCUUUGUAGCUUCUUAUUCACACAGCAUGAUAGCUAUCUAAAAUUAGCAAGACCGCUGCUACUAACCUUUAGGUCUGACUCAUUCCCACAAGGAAUUCCUUUAGUCAUAGCAGAGUUUAAAAUAUAUACAUUCUUUUUUCUGAGACAGGACUGGCAUUCAACUGGGUAUGUAGCCAAGGAUGUCUGUGGCCUUGCAUCCCCCUUCUGAGCACUGUGAUUUCAGAUCCUCAUCUCUAUGCCAUUUUAUGUGGUGCUGGGGACUGAGCCCAGGGCUGCAUGCUUGCUAGGCAAGCACUCCACAGACUGCACUAUACCCAGACCCUUAAGUAUAUUUUUAUUAUUUUUAAAUAUCCAUUUUCAGACUAGAGAGAUGACCUAGUGGUUAAGAGCACUGACUGUUCUUCCAGAGGUCUUAAGUUCAAUUCCCAGCAACCACAUGGUGGCUCACAACCAUCUGUAAUGGGAUUCGAUGCCCUCUUCUGGCACACAGGUGUACAUGUAGAUAGAGCACUCGUACAUAAAAAUUUUUUUAAAUCCCAUUUGCAUACCUUAGUGAGAAGCUGCACACAGUAGUCCUGUUGGGUUCUGGCAGUUUGGACAUGAUGAUGAGAUAGAUUAUAAUCACUGAUGCACACUCAGUCUAUUUUAUUUAAUUUACCUUAUUCAUAGUCUGUAUUUUAGCCAUUGAUAUGCAUAAGUAGAAUAGUACAAAUUACCAAUUUGUAUCCUAAAAACCACAAUCUUUUAGUUCUUUGAUCCUAUCUUCUACAAUUGAAUAGUAAGUAAUUUGAAAUGGGAAAAAAUUAUUAACUAUGAAUGAUUCCUGAACUUAUUUUACCAAAUCAAAUGUGUCAUUUGAGCCCCCAGCAGGGCUGUGAGUCAACACCACAGCAGUCCCUCCCUUGCUUACAGGGCAGGAGGUCUAACCUUAGCCUAGGAUAACCUAACCUAGGAUAGGCCUAAAAGCAGGAAUGACACUAAACCCUAUGUGUGCAACUUCUUCUUAUACAUACAACUAUAAUAAACAGUCCAAUUUGUUAUCUAGGCAGCGCAGAGAUAAAAUAUAAUAAUUAUACUGUAAUAAAAGUAAAAGGCUGAGAUGGUGGUGCACAUCUUUAGGUCUAGGCCUCAGAAGGCAGGCAGAUCUCCAUAGUUCAAGGCCAGCCUGGUCUACAGAUCAGGCUCCAGGUAAACCAGGACUGCACAGUGAGGCUCUGUCUCACACACAUGAGCAAUGGAAAUGUCAUCUCCCAAAAUGGUAUAUUGUAUAUCUUAGUAAGCUCCACAUAUUCACUUUUUUUCUUUCUUUUUAAGUCAAGAACUUCCAGGUUUUCAGUAACCUGAUAACUAAGAUAGAUACUAUGCGACUGUUGGCCAGGUAGCCCGUGCUGCCUAGACAUGAUGCAACCAGAGAUGCAGCUCAUCCUAGGCAGAUGCUGUGAGAGUCCAUUACACAACUCAAAGUUCCAAAUAUUGUUUUUGUAUGGCAGUUGAUUACAGGUAGCUAAAACUGGGUAAAGAAAAGCCACAGGUAAAGAGAAUGUUCAAGGAUUUUCCUGACAAGAAACUCAGGUUUGAGAAGUUCAGUGCCUUGCCUAAAUAUGCACAAUUAAUCCUAAGGCCAGGGGCAACUUCAGGUCGGUCUGACACCAAAAUCCACGCCCCCAUCACUGUGCUAGAUCGCUUUCACAUACUCAUGAAGACAUGCAUACAUCCAUGUAUGGCUAUGGCAAAGUGGGGAAACAGAGAUCAACAACCACAGUCAUUAGUAGCAAUUCCCAUUAUCUUACUUGAUGAGCAUUUCUAAAGAGGAAGCAAUGUAUUGGGGUGGACUGUGGAGGAGGAAAAUCAACAGAAACAAAGUUUGUUUGGAAAUGCCAUAAUAAAACCCAUAGCCUGGUGUGCUAGUUUAAAACCUCAAGGAAAGCAAUGCAUUCGCCUAUUGUUCAUCAACCUCUGUUGAACAUUUUACUACCAAAGACUGUUCAAAGACUCCUGUCUCUAUGAGGCUGACAUAAGGAUAUUUUUCCAGAAAGCACCAAGUUUCAAGGAAGUAGGAGAGAGUCACUAUAGAAUCUGUAACAAAAGCAAACGGCAAGCGUCAGUAGUGAGCUCCACUCAGGACGGGGCUGAUCUAAUCAUCUCUAGGUCAUAUAUGAGCUGCUGGUUCCUGGAGUACCGAGAACAUAGCGAAUCCGGUGACUACAUUAAAGCUUACACUAAUUAAAGCUCAGAUAUGGCGGUAAGCAGCCUUCAAAGUGCCUUAAUGAAAGCCCAAUUGCCUUAAAAAAAUGUGUCCAUACAAUAUUAAAUGUAUUGGGCUCAUCUUUGUUGUGAACUAGAUACUGGAUUAAAGAUAUUAUCUUCAUCAGGGCCAACAAGUGUGACUAAAUAAAUUUAACGAAGCUAUAAAUUAAAUACAGACCUAUGGCUUUUUACUUGACUCGAUCUUAAAUAGCUAUGUCUUUGCGAGCAUUGUUUCUCACCUCCACAAUAGAGUAAGAACUUUUACUCAAUAUGGGCUACUGAGGGGAUUAAACUGGAUAACGGGUUUGUAGUGCUUAGUUAGCAAAGACGCUGGUGUGUGGUAAGUCCUAAACCAUUUUCCCUGUUAAUCAAUGUUUCAUUUUUCCUAUUUAGCUAUGCUGUUUGCUUUCCUAUUUAGCAAUCUCUGUCUCUCUCCAUUUUUCCCUCCCUUCACCCUUCUCUCUCUUCUUCUCUCUGUCCUAGGCUUGUUUUCCCCAUCCCUCCAUGCCACAUCUCUUCCCCAACCUAAACAGAUCCUUGCUAUGUAGCUCAGGCUAGCCUUGAGCUCACAUGCCUACAUCAGUCUGGCCACAUGCUGGGAUUCUAAGAGUGUACCAGCAUGCCCCCAGCUCACUGCUAUUUCAAUCCAUAAUAUUGAUAACAGACUGCAUACAAUGCAGACUUAACUUUGGGAAACUACUAUAGUUUACACUUAUUUAGGAACAUAAGCAUUUUGUAGGAGAUUAAGAAAAAAAUCUAGAGUCAACAACAUGACCCGAGGGGAAAGGUGCUUGGGCCAACCCUGACGACCUGAGUUGCAUCCUCAGAACCUACAUGGGGAAAGACAAGACGAGCCUUCCUCUGACUUCCAGCAAUGGCAAUGGCAUCCAUGCCCCCCUCCAACACACAAAACAGAUACAAUUUAAAAUCUUUUUUAUAUAUAUAAGGAAAAGAAAACUCCAGUGUUUUGUCACAGUGUGAGUUUGAGACUGCUUGGGAGCCCUGAGUGUUAACUCGUUUGGAAAGUGGCAUGAUCUAUUUUUAGCAUGUUUCCCAUGCUGCUGGAAUGUAAAAAUCUCUCUAGCUUCUCAGUGAAUGUAUGCCAAAGAAAUCAGUAUUGAAUGUUUUAAAUCUAAAGAUGAAAAGAAAAUUCUAAAAGGGCAACUCUAGAAAUGCUAUUGUCUCCAGACGAAAUUUGUGAAAUCCUAAGACAUUUCUUAUCUUAAAAUAAAUAAUUGACAUUUAAAAACUAAGAUUCAGCCAGGCAGGGGUGGCAUAAUCCUUUAAUCCCAGCACUUGGGAGGCAAAAGCAGGUGAAUCUCUGAGUUCGAGGUGAGCCUGUAGCUCUGGUAGAGUCCUUGCCUAGAAUCAGAAGCUGGACACGGGAGCUCAUGUCUGCAAUCCUGCCAACUCAGGAGGCUGAAGCAGGAGGAUUGCAGCAAGUUUGAUAGUUAAUAAACAAAUGGCAAGGAGCAGGAGAGAUGAAGGAGAAGGAAAAGGGGAGCGAAAAAGAGAGAAGAAACCCUGACUAGUGUACAACAUGGAGAGACCUUGAGAACACAUGGAAACCUGGGAUAAAAAUUGCCUGAUUCAAUUUCUAUGGGAUAACUCAGGGCAUGAAAAAGCAAAUUUAUACAUAAGCAAAUCAAAGAGACGAGAGCCUGGGAGAACAGAGUGACCUUGUCUCAAAGCAAACAAACAAGCAAACAUAAAAGAAAAGGAAGAAAUCCUACUCUAUGCUGACAUGAUAAUCACAAAAGGUGUCUUGUCAUUAAGGGUAGAUGAAUGAUCUGGAUGUGACGGCACACACCUUUAGGGAGGCCGGCUGGCAGGAGAAUGUCUAUGAGUUCAUGGCCAGCCUGGUCUACAUAGUGAGUCCCAGACCAAUCAAGGGCUGCACAAAACAAAACUAACAUAAAAGAGUUGAUGAAUAAACUCAUUAUGAGAACACAACAUUAUAACUAACCCUACAAUGGAAAUUUUAGGUAAGAUUAGCCAAUGAUGUUCUAAAAGAAUCAAUUAAGUAUUGUUCAAUCAAGACUCAAAAGAAGUAUCAACUCCUCUAUUGCUGGUGGGAUUGCAAGCUUGUAUAACACUCUGGAAGUCAGUCUGCAGGUUCCUACCGGAAGAUCCAGCAAUACCUCUCCUGGGCAUAUACUCAGAAGUUCCAACUGGUAAUAAGAACACAUGCCCCACUAUGUUCAUAGCAGCCUUAUUUAUAAUAGCCAGAAGAUGGAAAGAACCCAGAUGUCCCUCAACAGAAGAAUGGAUAAAGAAAAUGUGAUACAUUUACACAAUGGAGUACUACUCUGCUAUUAAAAACAAUGAAUUUAUGAAAUUCUUGGACAAAUGGAUGUAUCUGGAGGAUAUCAUCCUUAGUGAGGUAACCCAAUCACAAAAGAAGUCAUUAGAUAUGCACUCACUGAUAAGUGGAUAUUAGCCCAGAAACAGAACACCCAAGACACAAUUUGCAAAACACAAGAAAAUCAAGAAGAGGGAAGACCAACAGGUAGAUACUUCAUUCCUCCUUAGAACAGAGAACAAAAUACCCAUGAAAGGAUUUACAGAGACAAAGUUUGGAGCUAAGACGAAAGGAUGGACUAUCCAGAGACUACCCCACCUGGGGAUCCAUCCCAUAAUCAGUCACCAAACCCAGACACUAUUGCAUAUGCCAGCAAGAUUUUUCUGAAAGGACCCUGGUAUAGCUGUCUCAUAUGAGGCUAUGCCAGUGCCUGGCAAAUACAGAAGUGGAUGCUCACAGUCAUCUAUAAGAUGGAACACAGGGCCCCCGAUGGAGAAGCUAGAAAAAGCAAGGAGCUGAAGGGGAUCUGCAACCCUAUAGGUGGAACAUCAAUAUGAACUAAUCAGUACCCCUAGAGCUCGUGUCUCUAGCUGCAUAUGUAGUAGAAGAUGGCCUAGUCGGCCAUCACUGGGAAGAGAGGCCCCUUGGUCUUGCAAACUUUAUAUGCCUCAGUACAGGGGAACGCCAGGGCCAGGAAGUGGGAGUGGGUGGGUAGGGAGCAGAGUGGGGGGAGGGUAUAGGGAACUUCCUGAAUAGCAUUUGAAAUGUAGAUAAAGAAAAUAUCUAAUUAAAAAAAAAAAGUAUCAAGGGGCUGCAAGGUGGCUCAGUGGGUAAAGGUGCUUGCUACCAAGCCUGAGGGCCUGGACCAAGUGUCAACACUGCCCUAGUAAAAGAUCAGCAUUUGAUUAAUAUUAAUAGAUUCUAAUAAGCAAAUUUUUUCAAAUAACUGAGGUUAACAAAAAAAAUCCUGGAAAAUAUUUAAAGAACUAGAACUGUUUUGCUUUUUUCCCCCUUCCCAGCUACUUUGAGAGGAGCAGCCUCCACCAUAUGCUAUCUCCAUUCCUGAGUGCUAACUCUACACGGCCUGGAAGCAACAGGGCCGAGAGACUGAAACCUCUAAAACUGGGAGCCAGCAGAAGCCUUCCCAAACUAGCAAGCAAGCAAGCAGAUAGAGGGACAGUGAGUGCUGACAGGGAUCUAACUCAUUUAAAGAGCUCCUAUCAGCCCAGUCCUUAAGUACUACUAGUAGAAUAUGUGUGACUUUUAUUAGUAAUCACUUCAAGAAUGAAAUCAUGGCAGGCUGUCAGAAAUUAUGUGGAUUUAGACAAAUCAAUGUAACAUUAUCACUAUAUGAUAAUUCUUCAAAGCAGUUCUAAAGCAAUACAAAUUUCCUCCAGAAAAAAAAAUCCUAUUCUGGCUGGGCAGCAGUGACCCACGCCUUUAAUCCCAGCAUUUGGGAAGCAGAGGCAGGUGGAUCUCUGAGUUCAAGGCCAGCCUGGACUACAGAGUGAGUUUCAGGGCAGCCAGGGCUAUGAAGAGAAACCCUAUCUCAAAAAAAAAAAAAAAAAAAAAAAAAUCUGUCUGCACAAAAGACCACAUCCCAUGAGACACAGAGCAGUCCAGUGUUUAGGCUGAAGGCUCCUUGUCAUAAUGUAUUUAAGGAUGUUACUGCAGUGUACUGUUCAGUUACAACAGUCUCAGCUAUAAUUUCUACUUAGCCCGCCUUUAAGAAGUUCAGAACAACAUCCACAUAUUAUUGCUCUUACUCACAUACCUAAUUAUAGUUAAUUUGAUAGACGAUGGCUUUUAUUUUCCAACUGAGAAUUCUAGAGUUAAAGGGAAGGAUUUACAUGGCUUACUUACCAACCCACUGGUCAGCUUUCAUCCCGCAGGAACCACAUGAGAGAGGCUAGAAAAUUACUACAUCUUAUGGAUCCCGUAAAUUUCUUCUUAAAAUAACCUGGACCACACAGGCCUACACAACUCACAAGUUUACCAUUCAUGUGUGAUUAUCAAGUUUCAGAAUGUAGGUCAGUCCAGUCCUGCCUCUGUUUUUAGGAAUGGACAUCUGCUUAGAAUCUAAUCACUCCAUAAAGCUAGGCAUGGUGGGGGACAGCCUGGGCUACAUAGCAAGACACCAUCUCAAAAGAGAGAGAAGGGGACUCUGUUCUCAUAGGGUCACACAUCGGAUGUUCUGCGCAACAGUGACAAUUUUGAGUUGUAGUACCUGUGGCUACUGUCCUACAGGCAAAGCCUGUACUAUUUACUGCUGGCUCUCUGUAGAAAGCCUGACAGGUCCUGACCUGUGUGAGGGCUGUCCUCAGAACAAGGCAGCACUGAGCCUAUGCAGUGGCCCUGAAAACAACUCACUGGGUAGAGCGCAUGACACACAAGACAGAUUCAGUAACACUGGGGAUGCGUCCCAGGUUACACUGCUUGCCUCCAAAUCCCGGUCUUUCCGAAGGAAAUCAUCCAGGGGCAUGAAUGCAGUGGGACCUGUAAUAAAUGCCUUCCAGGACUAUUACAAUAUGCAAGUAUGUAUGUGAAAAUACUAUACGAAUCCUUAUCAUUUCAAUAAUUGUUAUAUAUCCCAAUACAGGUUGGCCUGAUAUUCUCCUUUAUCCUUACACAAAUUUGAUGUCAGUAAUGCAUACAGCCACAUCUAACUUUACCUCAAAGCAAGAGCUUCCCAAUCGUACCUCCACCUUCUUCCAUCCAUUAGAAUGAUACUCCUUUUCUAGAAUCAACUUAAACUUUAUAUUUGAUUUUAUUUUUGAGAUGGGUUCUUGGUAUGUUGCCAAGGCUGGACUCAAACUCCUGAGUUCCAAUGAGUAAUUGGAGCUUCUCAAGUAGUCAGGACUCCAGGUGGGAAACAGCCAGCAAGCUUUCCAUUCUCUGCUGCCGCGGCAUUACACAACUCCAAAGACCUGACCUGAUGGGGCAGCGAGCGAGGGAAUAAAGAAAUGACAGACCCAGACACACAGACGUAGAAAAACCAGGAUCUGGAGGUCCCAGCUCCUGGAAAAGCUGCAGGACCCGGGAAGAUCAGAGUGUUUAUUAUAAACAGCUGACCCAGGAGGCAGGGUUCAUGGGUACAGCUGACCCGGGAGGCAGGGUUCAUGGGUACAGCUGACCAGGGUUUAGCUAAUAUCAGUAGGAGCAGUUUCUGUAAAGAAGCAGUGUUCGAGUCAUAACCACCCUGAAGAAGAGAGCCAUGGUGGACAGUUUCUGGCCACCACACUAUCAGCAGCCACACGUGGACCCUAGAAAGGUCACCCAGGGGUUAGGCUUUGCCACUUUGGGUCUGAGGUCCAAUUCCAUCCUUUAUAUGGCCACGCCCAUGCCGACAACACGACAAUAUGGCUCCAUUCAGGUCUCAGGGCUUCCCCGUCCCCCAGGGUCUGAUUUUCCAUCCAGUUCCCAUUGGUCCCUCCUACCCCUCCUUUGUUACUUAAAAUCCUGCUCAGCAUUCAGCCCAUUCUGCUUCCUGUUAUAGGGCUUCAAGCAUUUUAAUCCAAAAUGUGAAAAAUCAGUUUAUAUUAAAAACAAAUCAUGUGUGUAUGGGAGGGGACACUGAACUUGAUAAUGACAUUUCCAAAAAAACAUUUCUUGAUAAAAUAGCUAUUAUUUUUAAUUCUGUUAGCAAAAUACACUAUGGAGUUAAAAUAUACUGUCAGAUAAGUUUUAUUUGAAUCUCAAAAAAAAAUAUAUGGAGCACUUCACAGAGCUGCGUGUCAUUCUCUGCACAGGGGCCAUGCUAAUCUUUUCUCUGUGCUCCAAUUUUAGUAAAUGUGCUGCCAAGCAAGGACUCUUCUAUUCCAUGAUUCACUGAUCUAUUUCCAUUUCUAUUAUAUAUGUGGUUUUCUUUUUGGUGUUUUGAGACAGAGCCUCAGGUAUCCCAGGCUGGUCAUGAACUCUGUAGGUCAUUAUAACUAAGGAGGGCCUUCAACUCCUGAUCCUCACGUCCCCACCUCCCAAGUGCUAGAAUUACAGGCGCAUGUCAGUAUGCCCCACUCUGCAGUCUUACUUUAUAUGACUUAGGGACUUUUGAUGCAUGCAUAUACUCAUGACUAUGCUUUCUGUCCCACUAGAGCCCAUCAAAGUUCCUCAUAUGUAGUAACUAUCCCUGACUUGGACUGCCUGACGCUGUACACCUAGUUCUGCGCUGAGACCCAAUCUGCUGUUAUCAUAGCAAGCUAGGCUGGCUGCAGUACAUCUGUCCUCUUUCACAGGCAGGAGGAAUGAAAGCAAGGAACUCUUGUAAAUGAAGGAGACUUUUCCAUUUCUGUGAUGUUCAAUACUUCAUACGUGAGCUCCUUCUUUUUUGUGACUGUAAUUUUCCUUUAAAAGACUAAUAUUACGUCAGGUUUAUCAAUAUAACCUAUUCCCUCAUAUAAUCUUGAAGCCAAAUUGUUCACACUCAGAGCCCCUCAUAAAUAAACACAAUGUUCCAGUUGAGCUGUUGGCAGCAGAAUGUGUUCACAGUGAGGAACCUUCACUGUCUUGGCAGGAGUGACAGAAUUAGCUAAUUACAGUACAGUCUCCUAGAUCUGUUUUCAUUGGGAUAAGGGACAAUCUGGCGAUAUCAGAGAGCAAAUGAUCCAGAAAGACAUCUUAAGAUCCUUCCGCAAAGAUGGUAACCUCCUCCUAAGUCAUCUCAGGUUGGGCGUUUUUCCACAUAAAAUUUCCGUGAUGGUAAGAAACACUCCAGGUUGCUUUCAGGAGAAUGAGGCUUGAAAGCCCCACUGUACACUGUAGCCAGGAAAGGUUAUCUUGGAGAAUCUGAAAACCUUGGUUAGGGUCACUACUGCUGUGAUGAAUACCAUGACCAAAAGUGACUCAGAGAGGAAAGGGUUAAGUCCAUUGAGGGAAAACUGAAGCAAGAAGAUGUAGGGGAAAAAAAAAGAUAAGAAAUAAAAGGUAAAAACAGCCCCUACCAUAAAAGGGAUCAAAUUUUCUUUGGGAGAGAAAGAGUUAAACAGGAGACCAAGCAAAUGAACAUAUUUUAGAAGCCAUGUUCAGAAGCCUUUCUUUUGGGGAGCAGCUCAGAGGCUCAUGGGGAACCUGCUUAGUAUCAAAAAAUAAAGAAUUCAAAGAAAUUAAAAUUUUCAUUUCUCACUGGCUGAGUCACCAACUAUGAUGCAGGUCUAAGGCAAAUUGUUUUGGGCUUUAAGACUGAGCUGCAAGAAGCCAGGUGUGGUGGAGCAUGCAUGACCUUGAUCCCAGCACUCAGGAGGCGGAGGCAGGCAGUUCUCUGAGAUUUGAGGCCAGCCUGGGCUACACAACCCACGGCAGUCAGGGCUGCACAGAAACACCCUGUCUCAAAAAAAUCGAAAAUAAAACAAAACAGAACUUGAGCUACACAAGAGACGAGACACUUCUUUUUUUCAUGAUUUAUAGUCGGCUUGCUUCUAAAAAAAAAAAAAAAAAAAAGACAAGAGGAAACCUGCAGAAUAAAACAAUGUGUGCUAUUUAUAGUUAAGACAAAAAUGUAUCCCUCAAACAAUAUAAGAAAAAUCUGUCUACACUGAGGUAAGCUGGAGCAAAGAAUGUAAAACAGCUCAGUCUCCACCAUGUUCCUUCCACACAGUGCGGAUCUGUCAAGCACAGCUUUUGACACAGGCUCAAUCAUAGAGUUCUUGAACAGACUGCAUUAUAAAGUCCUUGUCUUAGGGAGCUCAGAGAGUCAAAAAUAAGACGGAAUUCUGAGACAUCCGCCCUGCCUUUAUUUCCUUACCUUUUAACAACAAAGGAUAAAAAUGCUAGUCCCUUUCUUGGUUUUGAAGGAGCUGUGUCUUUGUUUGUCUUUAGAUGUGAGGGCUUGUUACAUAGCCCAGGCUAGCCAUGGCAACCCUCCUUACUCAGCCUCCCAAGUACUAGUUAUUGCUAAGGAUACAAAUCACAAAAAUAAAAUUAUGCCAUUGGAUAGGUGGGUCCCAACCCCUGGGAGUUUGCAUAUCAGAUAUUUACUUUAUGAUUCAUGACAACAGCAAAAUUACAGUUAUGAAGUAACAACAAAAUAAUUUUAUGGUUGGGGUCACCACAUGAGGAACUGUAUUAAAGGGUUGCAGCACUAGGAAGGUUGAGAACCACUGCAUUCAAGGAUGCCCUGGUUAGGGUCACUACUGCUGUGAUGAAUACCAUGACCAAAAGUGACUCAGAGAGGAAAGGGUUAAGUCCAUUGAGGGAAAACUGAAGCAAGAAGCUGGGAUGGGAACCUGGAGGCAGGAGCUGAUGCAGAGGCCAUGACGGGUGCUGCUUACUGACUUGCUCCUCAUAGCUUACUCAACCUGCUUUCUUUCAAACCCCAGUACCACCAGCCUGAGGUGGCAGCACCCACAGUGACCUGUGCCCUUCCUCAUCAAUCACCAAUUAAGAAAAUGCCCUAUAAGAUUGCCUACAGCCCAAUUUUAUGAAAGCAUUUUCUCAAUUAAGGUUUCCUCAUUGUAGACAACUUUAGCUUAUGUCAAGUUGACAUAAAACAAACCAUGACAAGCAGGGCGUGGUGGCACAUGCCUUUAAUCCCAGCACUAGGGAGGCAGAGGCAGGUCGAUUUCGAGGCCAGCCUGGUCUACAAAGUGAGUUCCAGGACAGCCAGGGCUACAGAGAUACCUUGUCUCAAAAAACCAAAAAAAAAAAAAAAAAGACAGAAGGGCAGCGGGAACCCAUUCACUUUGUGCCUGCUAGUCAAUAAUCAAUCAAUAAUAUCUUAUAGAAACAGGUAAGGGGACAUUUGAGUCACAUUGAUACCUACAGUUUAAGACACCAGUUAGCAAUGUUUUCAUUUUUCUUCCCAAUUUAGUUCUGAUUGCACAGUGCAUGGAAAAUAAUAGACUUUGAACAUGGAAAACAACCCAGACCAAGAUCACCAUUUCUGACACUGUAAUGCAAAAGAUGAAUUUAAAUUUUCUAUUUUAAAAGACAGACUCCCAAUUACGUUAUUAUAGAUAUUUAAGUCUUCCAAUUUUCUCCCUAGUGAAUCAACUAUAAAUACAGCUAUAAACUAUAAAUAUUCCAAGCCAAGCCAAUAGAGCACUAGUUUAUCUGAAAAAAAAAAUGCCAAGAUUAAGUCUCCUAAAGUUCUAGCAAAAAUGUGAAAAAUAUUCUCAAGAUAAAGUAUCAACAAAUUCACUAUCAAAAUCACAAAAAGGAGGUUGGCAUACUGGUUGACCCUUUAAUGUCAGUUAUUUGGGUGGUUGAGGCAGGAGGAUCAUUGCAAGUUGAAUUAGUUGAGAUUAGUCUAAGCUAUAUAUUGACUUUCAGGCCAGCCUGUGACACAGUAUGAACCCUAUCCAGAAAGAAAAAGAAAAACACAAUAUGGCUGAAAAGGCGACUCCUGAGUUCUCAAGACCCAUGCGGUUCACAGUCUCUUGUAAUUCCUACUUCCUGGACACCUCCACUCAUGUGCAUAUACCCACACAUAUACCCGCCAUUUAAGAAAUAAGGCAAAUUCUUUAAAACAACCACAACAAACCAACUGUGGUCUUCCUGUUUGGGACCAAGAAUUCCUCCCAAAAGCCAACCAAGUUACACUCUUUGAAUUUACUCUGCCUGUAAAAUGCACAGGCACUGAAGGUGUGCUUAGUGUGACACACAAGGGUGUGGUCAAUACCAUCCAGAGAAUCUCCUUAGGUGGGCUUCGAGAACAAAGAUAGCUUUGCUGGGGUGGUAACUCAGCGCCUAGGGGACAUUUGCCUAGCACGUGUGAGAACUACGGUACUCUGAGAACAGAGAGCGAUGUAGUAGCAAGUCAGCAGACGGUCCUCACUGCCGGCGUGGCUCCAGCUGUAACAUCCCAAACCAACAGCUGAGGCUCUUUUAAUGUAUUCAAAACUUUCUUUUUUUUUUCUCUGGUCUGAAUAAAAUUGGACUAUGAGUUUUCUACAGAAAGUAACAUUUUGGGCUUUCUUUUUAUAAAGCAAUUCCUGCUUAUUUGUAUAGUUAAUUUUAAUCACCUUUAAAAAGUUAGCCCUUUAUGUUAAAUAAGUUGCAAAAACUUAAAGUGUUUGGUUAGAUGAAGUAUAAAAGUACUACUUCCACCAAUCCUGUGUGUCUCCUCUCUCCUUCUGUCCUGGAAGGUGCCAGGUAAAUUGACCCAUUUAACAGAAAUUCUGCCUGUUUGGUAUGAACGAUUCAUCUUGCUUUGACCAAGCAUGCCCACAUAAAUAGCCAAAGCAUCAUCUUUAAAUCACUGGCAAUAUCACCAGAAAUAAUUAUCUUUACAUUUACUAAUUAAUAUAAAGUACAGACUAAUUAACAUAAACACAUAAAAUAGACUUGUUUAUUUUUAAGUCUAAUUAUUAGUUUUUGACUGGUUCAAUUAAUUAAUUGAAGUAAAUUUUAAAUUAGUACUUUUUUAUCUUUAGUUUUAUUGUUAAAGCAUGCCGUAUGUAGAUUUUUGUAACAAGCACUUGCCAUAUACCAGGCUUUGCGUAGAUGCUUUGCGUAGAAAUCACUUAAUGCUCCUGCUAACCUGACCUUCUUAUUCAUAGAUGAGGAAAUAGAGGCUUAAAGAAGUCAGCUCCCUGCCCACGGCAGCACAGAGCAGAGCUGGCAAAUCUGCAGAUUAGGAUCUUCGAGUCUGCUCAUGCUUAGUCCUCUUACUCAUAAUAAUUCCACUAUAGUGGUUCCUAAGACGACAUCAUAUCCCAUUCUAUUCAUAUAUGUUCAUAAAAUAUGGUACAGUUUUAACAGAGACGUUUCCUACAUGCAUAUCAUGUACCUUGAGCAUACCCCCACUUCCUACCUUUCCCUCUCCCUUCUUCCCAAUAUUUUUUUUUGAUGGAUACGGAAAUACAGAGGAAAUUCUGAAGAGGCGAAGGCUGGGAACACUAGAUACAUAUUCCGAAGCAUGGUUGGUGGCUGAAAUCUGUACUCCAAUUCUUAGGUACAGAUAGUUGUAACCACAGUUCUAGAGUAUCCAAUGCCCUUCCUUGGCCUCCACAGGCCUGUGCAUGCAUGUGAUCCAAACAAACUCAUGAACACACACACACAAUCAUUUAAAAAAAAACUCAAAGUAAACAUAUAAAUAACACCAGACACAUACAAUCUCUCUGAAAGAGUGCAGGAUGCUAGGAACAGAGUCAAGAGGGUCAAGUGAGGACAGCAUGGGACACGUGAGAAAAGAGAGGGUGGGGGAAAGAAGGGAGAGAGGUGGGGAGGGAAGGAGAGAGGAAGGAAGAAAAACAUCAGUAAUAGCUUUGUUUUUAGAUUUAUUGAUUGAUUUUAUGUAUAUGAAUACACUGUCGCUGUAUUGGUGACAUUGGAUCCCAUUACAGAUGGUUGUAAACAACCACAUGUUUGCUGUGAAUUGUACUCAGGACCUCUGGAAGAGCAGUCAGUGCUCUUAACCACUGAGCCAUCUUCCAGCCCCCAGUAAUAGCUUUUUAAAAGCCAUUUCUCAAAAAUGCAGGGACAAAAAUAAAGCAGAGACUAAAGGAAAGGCCAUCCAGUGACCAGCCAACUUGGAUUCCAUUCCGUGGGUGGGCACCAAACCCUGACACUUUUACUGAUGCCAUGUUGUGCUUGCAGACAGGAGCCUAGCAUGGCUGUCCUGAGAGGCUCUACCAGCAGCUGACUGAGACAGAUGCAGAUGCUUUUAGCUAAACAUUGGACUGAAGUCAGGAUUCCAAUUGAGGAGUUAGGGAAAGGAUCGAAGGAGCUGAAGGGGAAGGAAACUCUAUCGGAAGACCAACAGUCUCAACUAACCUGGACCCCUCAGAGCACCCAGAGACUAAACCACCAACCAAAGAGCAUACAUGAGCUGGUCUGUGGUCCCUGGCACAUAUGUAGCAGAGGACUGCCUUGUCUGGUCUCAGUGAGAGAGGAUGCACCUAAUCCUGUAGAGACUUGAUGCCCCAGGGAAGGAGGAUGCGGCGGGCGGGGGGGGGGGGGGGGAGGUUGAGGUGGGUGUGGGUGUGUGGUGAGUAGAUAAGGGGGAACCCUCUCAGAGCUAAGGGAGGGGGCAUGGGGUGAAGAACUCUGAGAGGAAGGACUGGGAAGGGGGACCACAUUUGGAAUGUAAAUAAAUAAAAUAAUUUAAUAAAAAAGUAAUUUCUCAGCUGGAGAGAUGGCUCAGCAGUUAAGAGCACUGACUGCUCUUUCAGAGGUCCUGAGUUCAAUUCCCAGCAACCACAUGGUGGCUCACAACCAUCUGUAAUGCGAUUUCAUGCCUUCUUCUGGUGUCUCUGAAGACAGCUACAGUGUACUCAUCAUUCAUAUAUAUAUAUAUGUAUAUAUAUAUAAUAAAAUAAAAUAUUUUUUUAAAAAGUAAUUUCUUGUAAAAAUAAAUCAGUUCUUGUGAUAAACUACCUGCACCCUUCUGCUCAUGCAGUCAGAAACAUGCUCCUUACCCAGAAAUCUAGCAACUCCACACAGAGAGGUGCCGUCUUUCUCCCUGCUUUAGUUUCAUAGGGCUAUAGAACCAUGGGGAACUGGACAGAGUUGUCCCACAGUCACUUAGUGGUGAGAACAUAUGAAUCCUGCUUUUAAUAUUUUUAAUUGCGUGUAUAUGCACAUAACUGUCAGCUCCUAUAGGGAGGACCAAGGCAUCAGAUCCCCUUGGAUCUGGACUUACAGGUGAUGUAGGUGCUACGAACAGAAUUUGAGUCCCCUGGAAAAGAAGCAAGUGCCCCUAGCCCCUGUCCCUAGCUCCUGUCUCUUGCUUGACAAAUUGGGCUUAUUUUACAAGAACAAUUUUUCAGGGUUGAUAUAAUAAUUUAUCAGAACAGUCCAAACCUCACUAAUACAAUACCAGGGCUGGGCAUGCUGGUGCCCACCUAUAAUCACAACUCUGGUGGCUGAGGCAGAAGAAUCAUCCAAUAUGGGCUACACACUGAGACUUGUCUUACAGAGACAAAAACAGUUUACCAGUGCUAGUCUGGGUUCAUACUGAAAUAAAUCACAUGAGGCUUAAACUGAGACAACAAGACCAGGUUGCCGGCCGGUGGUGGCGCACACCUUUAAUCCCAGCACUCGGGAGGCAGAGGCAGAUGGAUUUCUGAGGCCAGCCUGGUCUACAAAGUGAGUUCCAGGACAGCCAGGACCACACAGAGAAACCCUGUCUCAAAAACAAACAAACAAACAAACAAAAAACAAAACAAACAAAAAAGAAGAAGAAGGAGGAGAAGAAGAACACCAGGUGAAGACCAAGCUGGGAUACACCACAAAUUCCACGCUUCCACGGGCUACAGAGUAAGACCGUGUCUGUGAAUCAGGGGAAAGGGAAACCACACAGCUUUAGGCUUGCUUCCUUUAUACCAAAGGUUAAAUUUUUUUCAGACCUUUAAAGACUGAAAAUGAUACAGAAUAGUUUCCAAGGCUACACCAGGAAGCUGCAUCUUCACUAGUUCAGAAUAUUUUCCGGCAAUUCUAUCAGUAAACACAUAGUCUGUUUAUCUUUGUACAGAUAAUGGCAUCAUUAAGGGAUGAUGGCAAGGAUCUGAGGACACAGCUCAGUGACAAGGGACGUGCUCAGUAUGCCAGAGGCCUUGGGUCCAUCCUCAACACCGCAAAACAGCAGCACCAAGAAACUGGCAAGACGCUUCUGUACUGGGGUUCACCUCAAAAAAUUAUCAUGUCUGAUCAAAGUGUUUGGAGCUUGGACAAAGGAAAUGGCAAAGCUGGGUGCUGGGGCCAUACCAGCCAUCCAGCUUCUGGGAGGCUGACAGAGAGUGAUCCUCCAGCUUUGGAGGUCAAGGCUAUCCUCCCAGCAAAGCAAGACCUUGCCUCCAAGGAGAAAUGAUGGUGAUAAAGUGAAAGUAGAUAGAUUCAACAUUUUUAUUAUAAUAAGGAAUCUAAUGAGUCAUUACAUACAAGAUGAAAAGCUAAUCUUUUGUGGCUUUUUGAGACAGGGUUUCUUUGUAUAACAAUUCUGGCUCUUUUUUUCUGUCUUUUGUUUUUUUUGGGGGGGUGGGAAGGGUGUGUAUGUGGUUUUUUUUGGUUUGGUUUGGUUUUUUUGAGACACGGUUUCUUUGGGUAUCCCUGGCUAUCCUAGAUCUGUAGACCAGGCUUUGUAGACCAGGCUGGCCUCAAACUCCCAGAGAUUCACCUGCCUCUGUUUCCCACAGAAGCUACUUUUACACACUCGAAAUGCACCAUCCUCUCCUUACCAUCUCCAUGAUUAUAUAAAAGAAUGAGCGACUAUGUAUACUACUUCCUAAAGCACAACAAGAGAAUAAACAGGUCUGGGGAGAUGGUCCAGCUGGCUUGCUACGUAAGCAUGAGGACCUGAGUGCAUCCCCAGCACCUAUGAAGUGCUGGGUACAAUGGUGCACACAUGUGACCCCAGUGUUCUGGAUACAACAUGGUCCCUGGGGCUUGCUGGUCAGCUUCUCUAGCAAACAGCAAGCACCACGUUUAGUGAUAAACCCUGUUUUUGAAAUAUAGCUGGAUAAGCUGUUGAGGAAGAUGAGACAUCCUGACGUUGACCUCUGACCUCAAUAUGCCUCAAUAUGUGUGUGUGCAUACUAAUUAACAUGCAUACACAUGAAUACGUGAUCAUGCAGAGAGGAGAGAGAGAAAGAGAGAGAGAGAGAGAGGUCAGAAAGUGUAGCCCAUCAUCUGUUGGUGUAUUACUUAACCCUAAGUCCUCUUGGCCAGGAGAAAGGGGAGAGAGAGCUAGUGCAGGGUUAUUGAUGUGACCUCUACCCCUCUGUGUAGUUUUACUUGUACAGGUUGCUGCUAAACAGUCGUUAUCACCCAAAGGGAGAUUUGUCUUUAGAAACUUUAGUGGACAGAGGUUCUCCUGGGAUUUAGGAAGCACAGGACAAGGAUGCAGCUAAACAUAUGAUUGUGCCACAAUAAAGUAAUGACAGUGUCCUAAAUACCAACAGCAUCCAGACUAGAGACCCAAAAUGGAGGCACACAUAAAGCAUGUCAGCUUCAUGUGACAUUUUUCACGACAUACAUACGUACAUACAUACACUAAUCCUAUUUUAUAUCUUAGGCAUAUAUGCUGAACUCAAAUUUGGAAUCCUGCCUCUCAUCCUCUUUGCCUACUGCCAUGCACCAUCAUGGCCACCCCAAAAUAUAUAAGAAAUUCAUCCAAAUCAACAGCAAAAUCCCAACCAUCCUAUUAAAAAUGGGCAGAGGACUUAAUAGACAUUUCUAAAGAAGGCAUACAAAUGGCCAACAGGAAUAUGCAAGGGUGUUCAAACACCAUUAGCCAGGUAAAAGAUAAGAGAUAAGUGUUGUUCAGGUUGUGGACUAGGCAAGAAUCUUUAUGUAAGGCUGGAGGAAAUGUAAAUUGGCAAAGCCAUUAUGGAAAAUGGUAUACUCCCAGCAGUAUAGAGAUUCCUCCAUUGAUUUUAAAUUAAAAAUAGAGCUAUCAUAUGAUCGAUCCAGCAAUCCCACUUCUGGGUGCACAGCCAAAAAAAAUGAAGUCUACAUCUCGUGUAGAUAUUUGAGUUCCCAUGUUGACUGCAGCAUAUUUACAACAGCCAGAUAUGAAGAGAACUGUCCACUGGACAAACAAAGAAACAUGGGGGAUAUCACCAGAUAACAUCCAGCUUUUGAAAAGAAGUAUAUCCUGUUAUUUGAUGCCAAAGGGAUGAAGCUUGAGGACAUUGCCCAGAAAAACAAAUAUCAUCAGCUUACAUUAAACAUGCGGGCUUUUUAUUGUCAGUUCCCUCAAAGACACGGUCUAGCAACUAUUUAUAUGACAUUUGCUUGUGUCGUUAUUAAAAGUCAUUUAAAGAUGAUUUAAAGUAUUUAAGAAGAUAAACAGAGGUUGUGUAAAUUCUUUAAAACAUCUUUGUUGUGGAGGAGGAGACAAUGUCUCAGAGUCUGUUCCUCCUUCCAGUGUGGGCUCAGGUCAUCAGGCCUGUGCAGCAAGUGCUUCUACCCCCUGAACCAUCUUUGCCAGCCCUCUGGGUGCAAAUUCUACACCUUAUAUGAGCAAUUGGAACAUCCUUGGAUCUUAGCAUCCACGGUGAGCCUUAGAACUCAUCUACUGUGGGUACUGAGGCUGGAGAGUGGAUGUUCUAAUCGCUUCCCAUGUAGAACCUAAAAUUACCAAGCUCGUGGAAACCAUGGAAUGGUGAUAACCAGGAGCUGGGAGAAUGGCCAAGAGAAGGUAUGGGUGGAAAGUUGUCUUAGAAGGGGAUGAGAGAGCUCAAAGCAUAGACACCUGCUCUCAAGUCUGAAGACGGAGUUCAAUUCCGCUUAGGUGGAAGGAGAGAACCAACUCCUGCAAAUCGUCCUCAGCUCUCCACAUGUGCCCUGUGGCAUGAACACGGCUGUACUCACAGACAUACAAACAUAUAUACAAGGACAAAUAUCAUACACACAUGCACCAAACAUACAGAGGAAGAUAAAAGUUAACUUAAAAAAUUUAAAGAUAUUCUACAACAAAAUAAAGUAAUUAAAAUGCAGUCUAUAAGGCUGGGACAUAGAGCGCCAGUCUCAACUGCACAAAGCCCUGGGUUUAAUCACCAAUGCCAUGGAAACCAGGUGUGAUGCUGAGCACCUGUAUCCUUACUCAGGAGGCAGGGGCGAAAAAUCUAAAGUUCCAGGUCUAGCCUUGGAAACAAUGGCCCCCACCCCCUCCAAGAAAGAGGAAAAAAUAAAAUCAUAAUGCUCACAUAUGAAAACAAAGACAUAAGUAGGGGUACAAAAAAGCUGGGGUUGGGGUGCAGAAGAGAAAGAUAAUGAAAUAAAUCAAGCAAUCAGUGACAUGGAAUCAAUCAAAUAGAAAAGUAACAAUACCAAAAGUUGGCGCUUCAAAAAGAUCAACUGAAUAAAGUUGACAAAAUCCAUAACAUCCGGAGAGACUAAAAGAAGAAAAACGUGAGAACGGGGGCUGCAGCUCAGCAGGUAGGAUGCUCACAGUGGCAGUUUGGAUGAAAAUGGCCCCCCUGGUCCAUAUGUUUGACUGUUUGGUCCCAGUUAAUAGAACUGUUAGAGAAAGGUUAGGAGGUGUGGCCUUUUAAGAAGAGGUGUGUCAUGGUGGUGGUGGUGGGAUAUUGAGGUUUCGAAAUCCAAUGCCAGGCCCAGUGUCUGUCUGUCUGCUAGGAUUACAGGUGUGUGCCAUCAUGCCGAGGUAUGCAGUGCUGAGGUCAAGCCCAGGGCUCCAUCUGUGUUAAACACACACUUUACUACUGAUCUGCAUCCCCAGCCCUAGAAUCUUAGAGAUUUGUUUUUGUUUUUGUUUGUUUAUUUGUUUUAUGUUUUUUUGAUUUUCAAGACAGGAUUUCUCUGUGUAGCCUUGGCUGUCCUGGGACUCACUCUGUAGACCAGGCUGGCCUGGAACUCAGAGAUCUGCCUGCCUCUGCCUCCCAAGUGCUGGGAUUAAAAGUGUGCGCCACCACUACCCGGCUAAGAGUUGACAUAGCAAUAGAUCAGCAAAUAAAACACUCAUCUGGGAUUCAUGGAAAAUGAUAGCAGCAGGAUUCAGGGCUCAAAGUCAUCGUCAACUGCCUAACAUGGUGAAGGCUGCCUUGAGCUACGUAAGAUUCUGUCACACACACACUCACCACACAUAGGGCCUAGAGAGAGGGCUCACCAGUUACAGCUCUUGCAGAAAACUUGAGUUCAGUUCCGAGCACUCACAUCAAGCCACAAGUGCCUGUAGCUCUUGUUCCAGGGGUUAAUUGCUAAAUUUCUUUCUCUUGGGGAGAUGAUAUAAGCCCCUAAUAACAAACCAAGAUACAGUACCACCAAAGUUCACCCUAGGCAUCAGUGAGUUUUUUAUUGAGCUUACUUACACAGCACAGGUGAAGGGUUCCUUCAGGAGUUUGGGUCUUCACCCUCUCACAAGACCACACUGGACAUUGUUCACCCAGUGGGGAAGAUUGAUUUCCUAUAGCUUCACAGAUGAGGCCACCCUCUCGUAGUCUUCCCUGGCCUGUAUUCUCUAUUCUAUCCCCCAGGCCACAUGCAAUUAGGGUAGAAUUGCAUCCAAAAGGUAGUUUAGAGUGGCUGGAUACUCAGGUGAGAGUCUCAUGACCCUCCCUGUCCCUCCUUCUACUACAAGGGGAUGCCAGUCCUCGGGUCCAGCUGGGAUGAUCGUUUGUAAGUGGGCACAGCUGAAUUCCUGCAGGUGAGGUUGUUUGGCAGGAGAACAGUCCUGUUCAAGAGUCUGACGCCCUCUUCUGGCCUCUGAGCACACCUGCACACGUGAGCACAUACUGUACACAGACAUACAUAAUUAUAAAAUAAAGUCUUUAGGGGCUGGAGAGCUGGCUCAGCAGCUAAAAGCACUGACCACUCUACCAGUGGACCUGGGCUCCAUUCCCAGCACCCACAUGGUGGCUCUGCCUGUAACAUCCAUUUCAAAGAAUCGGAUGCCCUCUCUGGCCUCGAUGGCACUGAGCAUGCACGGGACAUACAAACAUACAUGAAAGUAAAACACCUAUACACAUAACAUCCUUUAAGAUAUAUAAAUAAAUAAAACACUAACAUAUGAAUCUAGCAGCAUAAAAAAUGAUAAUAUAUCAUCUAAUGGGGCUUACUUGAGGAAUUCAUAAUGAAAAAACAAUAUUCUUUACUUUUCUCCUCAGUCCUGAGAUUGAAACCUAAGCCUCGUGCAUGCUGGGCAAGCAUUCUGUGUCUGAGUUACAUCCCAGAACCUGCCAAUCACCAUAGUAACAGAACAAAGGGCAAGAACAUACCAAGACCCAAAAAGGUACAUAAGAAACAUUCAACAGAGCUCAACACACAUGCACUACAUACAUUCUGCGAAAGUGGAAGCAGAAUGAAACUUCAGCCUAAUAAAGGACAGAGAGAAACAGUAACAAGAAAUUGGAGCAGAAACAAAUGGAACCUUCUUUAAAGUGUCCUUUAGAAGAAGAAACCUGAUCAACUAAGACCAGAUGAAAAAGACCAAGAGCAGUGAGUGAAUGUGUCUGACCUGCCUCAUGAUUCCAUCAUGAAAGACCAAACAGGCUCCUUACAUCUAGAAAACAAAUGGCCCCUGUCACCACUAAUCUUGGGGAAAUAGUCUAACCCUUGGGAUGAAGAUCAAGGGAAGAGUUCAUGGGGUGUGAUGAGCUAGAAGACUGGAAAAACAGAAAUGAGAACAAGGGUUUGUACAGAGAAUUGGCAUUUUCAUGGUUUAAAGAAAACUGUUAUUCCUAUAUGCAGCAAAACCUAUUCUUAAAAACCAUUAAAUUUCAAAAUUACAAUUUCUUUUUUAAGUUCGGGCUUAUUGUUAUGAUGUCUUUGUCGUCAUAAAUACAUAUAUUAAUUCUACAAUUGAAAGAGCUACUAACACCUGAACUGAAUUAACUUAAUACAUCAUAUGUAAAUCAGACAUCUAAAUUAAAAAUUUAUAUUGUUGUGUUUAUUCUGUUUAAAAUAGUAACAUUUUCUUUUUCAAAAAGUUUUAAAGAUUCUCAAUCAAGAUUUAAUGUUAAUUCAGCUUGUAAGGAGAUGUGAGUAUCAGCUUGUAAGGGGAUUGUAAGGGGAUGUGGGUCCUGGGAAGAAGAGCUGGGUCCUCUGUAAGAACAGUGCUCUCUUGGUUUCACUUGGUUUUGAGACAGAGUCUCACUAUGUAGCUUUGACUGGCCUGGAACUCACUAUGUAGACCACACUGGCCUCAAACUCACUGCUACCUGCCUGCUUCAAGAGCUGGGACUAAAGGCAUACCCCACCUUGUCUGGGGCAGUAUUCACUCUUAACAACUAAGCAAUUUCUCAAACUCCUUCCCCCUCUUUUAAAGAUUUUUUAAAAUUUAAAUAAUGAUUGAUUUUAUAUGGGCCUUUUGCCUGCAUGUAUGUAUGUGUACCACAUGUGUGCCCUGUGUUGUGUUAGAGGAGGUCACAAGAAGAAAUGGAGUUACAGAGGUAAGCUGCUGUGUGAGUGCUGCAAAUUGAACCCAGGGCCUCUGCAAGAACAGAACUGCUCCUAACCACUGAGCCAUCUCUCCCGCACCAUGACUUUUUAAAAGGAAAUAUUUAUCUAUUUUGUGCUAAGAGGGGUGCCAGGCAUGCCCCAGGAUGCACAGGAAGGUCAGAAGACAACUUGUGGGGGUCCAGGGAAGGACGUUAGGCUUCAUGGUGAGAGACUAUCCACUGAGCCAGCUCACUGGUUCUCAAAAUUGUACAACUUGUACACUUAAGACAUCUAGAAGUUUAGUUUACAUCUAGGUGUUAAAGAAUCCAAAUUGAUUUUCCAUUUUCUUUUUUGAGACAGGGUUUCAUAAUGUAGCCCAGGCUGGCCCUGAGUCGGUGCUGGUAUCGUGGGCUCGCACCACCACAUGUGCCCGUAAGCUUUUACUGAAGCAUGCAUUCACCCAUUGAGUGAAAUGUCUGCAUUGGUUGUGUGCUCUCUAGACCCUGUGGAAUGUCAAAUGCUACACAAAUGGGAAUGUGAUACAUUAUUAGUCCAUGGACUCCAAGAGUAGUAAGUUACUAAAUCUUUGGAGAAAAAUCAGUUUUUAGAGUUUUUAAACCUGGGUCUCAUCUGCCCUAGAUUUGUUAGGUUGUUAGAAAGCAUGCCAAGUAGGCAAGAGUUAUCUUGAACUCCUGGUCCUGUUGCUUCCAACCUCCUGAGUGUUGGGCUCUCGGGUGUGUACCACCACACUCAGUUUGCACAGUGUUGGGGGUGGAGCCUAGGAAGUCAUGAAUGCUAGGCAAGUACUCUUCCAACCGAAGUGCUGCCCCAGUCCCUAGACUCCCAUCAAAAAAAUAAAAUAAAAUCGGGAGCUGGGAAUUGGUAGUGAACACCUUUAAUCCCAGCACUCAGGAGGCAGAGGCAUGCUGAGUUGAAGGCCAACCUGGUCUACAGAGCAAGCUCCAGGACAACCAGGGCUACACAGAGAGACCCUGCCAUCUUGUCAUAUACUAGUGACUUUGAGCAAUGCUUCAAACUUUUCUGAGCCUGGGAUUUCUUAUCUAAUUGAAUUUAUGUGAGAAUUAAAAUAUACACAAAAACCUCUUCUGAAUGCUGUCUGGGUCACAGUCAAAGGACAGCAUCAGUUGCUAGGUACAUUAAAUGGUACAAAAUUUCUUUCUCCCAGAAUUGUCAAAAUCAAAAUGACAUACCUAGUCUCUACUUACUUUCAAUGUUUCCAAAAAAUGUUCCUAGAAAUUUAUCUAAGGAAAUUAUCUAAUGAAAGAUGACUAGCUUAGGUGAAAAAGAUGAAACUUGCAAAAUUUUUUAGAUUAAAAAAAUAGAGUAAACUCCAAUUUUUAAAAUAUGGGACUGAUUAAUCAAAUUCUGUAUAAUCUACAAGUGGAGCAUUACACAACAUAUUAUUCAAAUGAAAAGGAUAAGAUAUGUAAUACAGAAUAAUUACAAUUCUGUAAUAUUCAAAUCUAUUGGAAAAUGACUGAACGAGGAAUCACAAAAUGAAACUGUCCAGAGGAGCAGGAUUACACACAGCUGUUCCUGCUUUGUCCCUAGUUUUAUAAUAAAAUAUAAUUUUUAAUGAGAAUUAAAAAGUUGCACUGUUUCUUUAAAAAUAUGUCAGGACAAUUGGACGAGAGAAAGAACAAUGUUUUCAAAGUGUCUUGCUAUGACAACUGGAUAUCCACAUGCAAAGUAUGGGUCCCACUCCCAGCGUACACACAAAUGAUCUCAAAUGCGUCAUGGACUCAAGCACUAAAGCUGCAAAACUCUUAGAAAACAGAGAAGUCUGUGGAUUUGAGCUCAAGCAACAUCAAAGGCACAAGAGACAGGAGAAAAACCAUAUAAAUUGGAUUAAAUCAAAUCCAAUGUCAGGCGUGAGGGGACAGCCCUGAGGCCUGGCAAUGAAGUAAGGUGGAGACUGGAAGCUGGAAUUCCGCAAUUCAGAAGAGCUGGGGCAGCAGCACUCAUGAGGCCUAUUCUCAGGAAAUGGAUCUCUACCCGACCCAACAGAAUGAAACCCGGGUGUUGUAAAUAUACCAUCAGGAAAGUGCAGGUAGGACAUGUGAGUCGACUCAGCAGUAAGGGGGCUUGCUGCCAAGACUGAGCGUCUGAGUUCGGAUUCCCACAAGUUAUUCUCUGACCUCCAUAGGUGUCCUGUAGCAUGCACACCUCCACCACAAACUAAAUAAAUGAAUGUGGGGUGAGGCAAAGGAUGUAACCGGGGAAAGCCCUUAACUGUGGGUUUGAUUUCCAGCAUCACAAAACAGGGAGAGAAGCAGGCAGUAAGGCACUUAUUAUGCAAGUGUUGGGUCCCUUGAAGCUGGGGUUGCAGACACUCUGGCGUGGGUGCUGGGAACAUAACUCAGGUCCUCUGGAAGAGCAGUAAUUGCUCUUAACCUAACCGCUGAGCCAUAUUUCCAGGCCCCUCCCACAUUUUAAAAAAGAUUUAUUUAUUUAUUUUAUGUAUAUGAGUACACUGUAGCAUCUUCAGACACAUCAGAAUAGGGCAUUGGAUCCCAUUACAGAUGGUUGUGAGCCACCAUGUGGUUGCUGGGAAUUGAACUCAGGACCUCUCAAAGAGCAGAGCAGUCAGUGCUCUUAACCGCUGAGCCAUCUCUCCAGCUUCCACCCCAACUCUUUUUUUUUUUUGUUUUGUUUUUCGAGACAGGGUUUCUCUGUAUCACCCUGGCUGUCCUGGAACUCACUCUGUAGACCAGGCUGGCCUCGAACUCAGAAAUCCCCCUGCCUCUGCCUCCCAAGUGCUGGGAUUAAAGGCGUGCGCGACUACGCCCGGCUCCCCCUCCUAUUUUUGUUUUCCGUUUUUUCUUUCUUAUUAAAGGCUCAUUCUGUAGCCCAGGCGGCCUCCAUCCUGUGACAAUCCCAACUGCCUCAGCUGCCUAGACGCUGGGUCGCAGGUAAGCACCACUGGGUCUGGCUCUUUUGGAGAUUAGGGUUGGGGGACUUUUCUGUUCUUUUUAGUUGUACUUUCAAAAAAUACCCUGCAAUGUGUACACGUUUACCUAUAUGAGGAAAACAUUAUUUAAAACACAUAUUGGAUUGUUAUGUAGAUUUUAUAACAGUAAAAAAAAUGUUAUCAUGUACUUACCAUAAAUCUUUCGAGUCCUAGGUACUGAUCGGAUAGUGAGCAAACAUGUUUCCUGCCUUCACUCGGCUCAUGCCCCACUGUAACACUUUGAAUUCUAGUGGGAUCUAGAACAUUCUUUCCGUUAUUAAGUGCCUUGUGUUCUGACCUCCACACAUGUACUUGACUUUUCCUACCCAACAGGCAAAUACUGCUUCAGUAGGAAUCAAAUCCUUUAUUCUCGUGGUUUUUAUACUUAAAUAUUUAGGGUCCUUUUCAUACUUAGGUCAAAAAAUUCAUUCUUUCCCCACUUUUGUAUACAAUGACAAAAUUUAGACUAAAAUUUAAUGUCCAAGUAGUAUCAUUUUGUUUGAGACAUAGCCCUGGCCAGCCUAGAACUCACUCUGUAUACUAAGUUGGUCUCGAACUCACAGAGAUCUGCUUGCCUCUGACUCCACGCCCAGACAACUUUGUUUGUUUUUGAUAAACUCUCCUGCAGCUGGUGAGCCUGUGAGUCGGUCAGUGUGUUAACCGCAGAUGACCUCCUAGCUCCACUUCCCAAGUGCUGAGAUUACAAGCUUGAGCGACCGGGCCCACAAGAAACAUUCUUUCUUGGUGAAAUGCUCCAGGCCUUGGGUGCUAUUUCCAUCAGGGGAGGGUGAGCUGGGGGAGGGGCUGUGAGGGAGGAAGGAGAAGGGGACGGGGGCUGUGAUUGGGAUGUAAAGAGAAUAAAUUAACAGAAAAACCAAACCAAACAACAGCAAAAAGCUUGUCAUGUAAAAAUCUCAGUGAUCCUUUUUUUUUUUCUUUAAGAAUUCAACAGAGAGCCCUCUGCUUCCUGUGUACGGGUGAGUAUGUGUUCCGAUAGCUUCCUGUUCCUGCUACGGUGCCUCUCUUGCCUGAUGAUGUCAUGUCUUCCCUGCCAUAAGGGCUCAAUCCUUCUGGAACUGUAAACAAACAAAAAAGCACAUCCUUUCUUCUCCUCCUUCCUGCCAAAAACUAACUCAAUAGAUAACUUACUAUUCUGCCAUACUCAUUUAAAUUUACUAGAUCAUAUAUUUUCUUUAAUAGGGAGAUAUGUGCCAGCAAUUAAGGCCGAGGAAGGAAUGAAUGCCCUUGUGUUUGAGGCCAGCCUGGGCUCCAUAGUGAAUUCUAAGCUAGCCAGGGCUAGAGAGCCCUUGUCUCAAAUAAACAAUAAGUAAGUAAACAUCCAUUGAAACCACUAAAAUCAUGCUAUUAUGAGGCAAAUGAUUUAAGUUUUUUUUUUUUAAUUUUAUAUGUAUGGGUGUCUGUGUGCCAUGUCUGUGCAGCAGAGCUUAGAAGAGGGAGGGCAGCUGAUCCCCUGGAACUGGAGUUACAUACAGUUGUUAGCUGCUGUGCAGGUGCUGGGAAUCAAACCCACGUCUUCCAGAAGAGCAGCACUGAGUCGUCUCUCCAUUGCCACCCAAGCAGAGCGGUGACCUGUUCAAGAUUCACAGAACCCACUCCUUUUCUGUCACUUUACCCACUCUGUGUUCCUCAGUAAUUCAGUGCUCUUCUGAGCUGCCUGGAGCAAAGACUUGCAGUAUCCAAUUAAACCGUUCCAGGGACAGCAAGAUGGCCUAGUGGGUAAAGGCACAAGCCACCAAGACUAAUGGUGACUGAGUUCAAUCACUGAAAUUCAUAUGAUAGAGAAAAAAGACAUUCACAGUUCUCUUCAUAUCUCCACAGGCACACCACAGCAUACAUACACAUGUAUACAAAGUGCAUGCACGCUAACACAAUCACACAUGUAAAUAAAAUUGAAAAAACUUAAGUACAUGAUUCAAAGUACAUAAUAUUAUCCACAAAUGUUACUAUAGGAGAUUAUGCCUAAAGUCUAUGUAGACAGCAAUAUUAGAAUGGACAGGUGCCACCUUCAGUGAGUUCUUUUAAAAUCUUUAAUUAUAAAACCAAUGUGUUUUACACUAAAUGCAUUCAUAGAAAUUCGUCAUCAGUAUUCAAGAUCACUUACCACUAAUUAUGGUUUCAAAGACAGUUUCAAAAUACUAAGCACGGAUCUCUAGUUACAUUUAGAAACAUUGAAACAUCUCCUUGUCAUGCAUCCACACCCACCCACACGUACUUACAUGCAGACCCACACAUGAAAAAAAAAAAAAAGAAAGAUAGAUUUCCUUGUGAGCUAGACAUAGUGACGCUCACGUAUAUCCCAGUACUUCGGAGACAGAGACAAGGAAGACCGCUUUGAGUUUAAGGCCAAUCUGGGAUACAAAUUAUAUAGCAAAUCUCUGUCAGGAGGAGUAAAUAUCUUCUUUUUUUUUUCCUGUAUUUUCUACUAUACCAGAUACUAAAUGUUAGUUUGCUAAUAACAUUGCUGCAUAACUAUAACAUUGUUGCACAGCUAUAACAUUGUUGCAUAGCCAUAAGAUCAUGUAAAUGAGACAUUUAAUUGGAUCCUUAUGUUCUCCUUGAAGCAGUAGUUCUUGGACUUUGCUGUUCACCAGGAUUACAGAAAGGCUUCUUAAACUAUGGGAUGUAACUCCUAAUGGGGUUAUCUAACUAGACGUGAGCAUCACAAAAACAAACAAACAAACAAAAACAGAAACAAAAACAAACAACAAAUGGCAACAAUAAAAGGAUUCUGGGCACACAAUGCCCAAGAAUAAAAAUCAAACGCAUGAUGAAUCCGGGCUUUUCUGAAAGCAUUUGUGGGUACUGCAUCAUGCGGCUUCACCUCAGCCCUGGUUCUAAACACACAAACAUGCAUACUUUGCACAAACUGUGUAUGCCUCAGCCAUACCGCACCAAGGACACUGUGAAACACCAGCUUAGAGUCAAGAUUACUGCAAGUUACAAACUGCAGUGUUUUUACUAUACAUGUAACAUUUUCUGCUCCUAUAAGAACAUAUGGGGGCUAGAGAGGUGGCUCAACUCAGUGGUUAAGAGCACUUGUUUCUCUUGCAGAGGACCCAGGUCAGCCAGCCAUCGCUCUAGUUUCAAGGGAGCUGAUGACCUCUUCUGACCUCCACAGACACCAAGCAUGAAUGUGAUGCACAUACAUACAUACACGCAGGCAAAAUACUCACAUAUAAAUGCUUUAAAAAUGAAUACUGGUCUAAAGUCAGUUUAAUUAUAAAGAACAAAGACAUUUUAUAUUUUCCUGCAGUCAUUCCUCAAAUGUAUCAAAUACUUUUGGAUGGGAUUGUAGAAGAAUGUUUGAUUUGAAAACAGCUGUUUGCAUUGCUCACUUGAGUUUAAUAAAAAUUGCUAAAUGAAUUUUGCCUUGUAAUUAGGAGAGACUUGUCAACCAUUUUGGAAUCAGCCCUAAAUAGACCUCUGCCAUUUUGUGCUGUAUAUGAAUGCAAAGUGGUCUCCUCAACAUGAUCUGUAAAAUCAAAUUCUCAAUCAACCGUGACCAAUGCUGAAGAUGCUCUAUGCCCUGUAAUAUCAAAUAUUCAGCCAGGACUUAAUUAUUCAUGAAACAGUAAAUAAGCAAUACAUCUCAUUAGUGUGCUCAUUUGCAUUUAUCCUUAGUAAAUAGUAAAGUUCUAUGAAUAUCCAAGAAUUAUGUUAAAAUAAAUGUAUGAUUUAUUAGCAAUGAAUGUUUAAUUUGUAUACCUAUUCUAACUGCCUAUAUGGCUGUAAUAGUUUUGCUUCUCUGUUACUCUGAUAAACCAUGACCAAAAGCAACUUGGGGAGGAAAGAGCUUAUUAUAUCUUACAGGUUAGAAGCCACCAUCGAGGGAAAUCAGGGUAGGGGCUCACAAAGGAACCUGGAGGCAGGAGCUGAAGCAGAAACCAUGGAGAAAUGCUGCUUUGCUCAUACUGCAUGCAUGCGUGUCUGGUGCACACAGACUCCAAAGAGGGAAUCAGGUCUCCUAGAACUGGAGUUAAGGAUGAUUGUGAACUGUUAUGUGGCUCCUGGGAACCACACCCACCCAUGUCCUCUGGAAGAGCAGCCAGUGCUCUAAACCCUCAGCCACCUCUCCAGCACUCCCCACCCCCACCCCCAAAGUAUUUUUAAGAGAUGAGGUCUUGUGACUGAGGCUGUAGCUAUGUGGUAGUGUGCUUGCCUAAACAGGGAUUAGGGUUAGAGUUCAGAGGUAAGAGUCUGUCUAGCAUGUAUGAGAUCCUGAGCUCAGUUCCUAACUUGGAAAACAGAAAAGACUGGUGUGGGCCUUGGGAAGGCAUGGUACUUCUGGCUCACCUCUGGGGCAUGCAUGCAUCUAGUAGGAGAGACCUUGGACUGUAAAAGAGAAGAAAGUAAACUAAUGAAUAAUAUAUGCUGAUUUAUAAUCUGAGGCACCAUCUUGUGCCGUCUUUUAUAGCCAACCAGCAUCUUAGUGUGCUUCCAUUUCUCCAUGCAUGUCUGAAGAUUUUAGUAUUUUUGGGCAUUUAUCAUGUACAAGAUAUGAUUACACAGUGGAAAGGAUACAAAAAAAAAUCACUUAUCCCUUUACAUCUUUGGAAAGCAAAUACGAUGUAAGCAUAGUUGAAAUGGGUACAUUUUAGGGACUCUUCAAUUCUAAAACCUUUACAUAUUAGUAUCGGAUAGGAUAAAGAAGGGGGGAGAUCAAGGGAGUGCAAAUGUGAGAGAAAGGGGGGGAGAGAGAGAGAGAGAGAGAGAAAGAGAGAAAGACAGAGAGAGAGAGAGAGAGAUCGAACACAGGUGCAUACAUUUACAAGUCAUUGUUCUAAAAGCCAAAGAAAACAAAUUAGAAGGCAGAAAUAAGAGUUAGUUCAGAGGUCUCAAAGUCCAGUGUCUCGGGCAACAAGAUAACAAGUUUCAGAGUCAGGCACAAGGACACCCCGCUUUGAUUCUCUUACUUAUCUUGCAUGACCUUGGAGAGAUCACCUAGGGUCUAGGAAUUAUUUUUAUUUGUAAAACAGAACAAUAGCACUGCGGUGCUUAGCACACAGUGACACACGGACAGCCACUGACUGACUACAUUCAUACUGCAGUGUAUCUCUGGCUCACUGGUCUGACUUUAAGCUGCUUAUGUGAGAAAAGGAAUGUGCUUAUUUAUUUCUAUGAAGCAGCAUUUAGCACAGUGUUUGGCAAAUGCUAAAUACUGCUAUGAAUAAACAUUCUCAUUAUAGUAAAAUUAUUUUAUUAUUUGAAAUCCUUCCUGUAGUAAGGAAACAGUAAACUUCAUGUUAACUGUUUUAAAAAAUAGUUUUAAAUUAUAUUUUCUUAGAAUUUACUGUUAAUUAUGCAUAUCAUAAAAUGUCAGAUGGUUUGGUACUUUGUUUGAACAUAGCCGGUCAUCUAUGCUGAAGGAACUGAAUAAUAUAAUAAUUUCCCAUGGUCUGUAUCAACCACAAAAGCUACCAGGCAACAGAGAAAGCUGUAUUUAUUUGACAACCACUUUAAAAAAGUUAUAAUAAAAUAAAAAGCUUUUUAAACCAAGGAAAUUCUCAAAAUGGAAAGCUCAAUUAAUUAAAAUCUUUUAUAGUCUUCGGGGAAAUGAGAAGAAAUUCAGUUUCAUGGUUUGAUGAUUCUGACCUAUGUAGGAAUAUAAAAUGUACUAAUUACUUAAUGUCGUAUUUAAUGGGCUUUUCCACUGUGGCGUUUAAUUAGCUCAUUUGACUAAGAGUAUGACUCUAAGGCGCUUUUUACAAUCAUUGGACUUUGUUUUAAGAGAAUACCUUUAUUUUAUAUUUGAUUUUCAAUGUUUUACCCUCCUCCUCCUCCUCUUCCUCCUCUUCCUCCUCUUCCUCCUCUUCCUCCUCUUCGCUUACUGGGAUCAAACUCAGGGCUUCAUGAAUGCUUCUGAAUUACUUUGCCACUUAGCUGCACCCUAGCUCACUGAUCGUCAAUAUAGUUUAAUAGACCUAAAUUACCAUCUUUUUGCUCAGUUUUUGAUAAGUGCUGGGACUCAAACCCAAGUCCUCAGUAUAUGGUAAUAUCACUUGUCCUCUAUUUUUUCUUCUUUUCUCUUAUAGUCAAUGAAAUUCUGGCCUUUAAUGACAAGAUUUACUUGGAGUCAUUUUUAAUGCACUAUUCAAAAGACUAGUGCCUUUACAGUGACGAUUCUGAACCUUUACAGCAGACGGGUACAAUGGUAACACUUUUAGGAUACGUACUAUCAAUUUCUCAAGUUAAUUUAGAAUCUACUGCUUAUUAAUGACCAGUAUGUGUUUAUGGGGUUCUAAAAUAUCAUAUGCUACAUUUAUGAUAUUAAUAUAGUUUUCAAACUCAAAAGUCUUUCCCUUCCUUAAAAUAAUUUUUAAAAAUAGGGGCUGGAAAGAUGGUUUAGCAGUUUAGAACACUACUUGCUCUUGCAAAGGACAGGAGUUCAAUUCCCAGCACCCACAUGGUGGCUCAUAACCAUCCCUAACUCCAGUGCUAGGGGAUCCAACAGGGCCUCUGACAUCCUCUUCUGGUCUUCACAGGCACCAGGCAUACACAUGGUACACACAUAUAUAUGUAGGCAAAACACUCAUAUAUUUUAAAUAAAAUAAUAAAAAAAUUUUAAAGUAUCUGGGUGUGGUGGUACAUGCCUUUAAUCCCAGCACUAGAGAGGUAGAGGCAGGUGGAUUUCUGUGAGUUCUAGGACAGCCUGGUCUACAGAGUGAGUUCCAGGCCAACCAAGGCUGCAUAGUGAGACUGUCUCAAAAUAUUAAAAAAAAAAAAAAUUAAAAGGGAGGGCUGAAGUUGUGCCUAGAAAACAUGGUUGGCAUUCAUGAAAAUUUUGGUUCAAGGUUCAAACAUCAAAGAAAAUAAAUAUGAACUGAGAAAUGACAUUGGCAAAGUGUUUGCCGGGCAAGCAAAGGACCAAAGGAUCUCACCAAUGCCCACAGGCAUGGCAUCGCUCCUGUAAUGCUAGUGCUGGGAAGAAAGAGACAAGAAGGCAGAUCCCUAGAGCUCUUGACAACCAAGCAGGGGUUGGGGAUUUAGCUCAGUGGUAGAGCGCUUGCCUAGCAAGCGCAAGGCCCUGGGUUCGGUCCUCAGCUCUGGAAAAAAAAAAGACAAAAUAACAAAAAGACCAAAAAAAAAAAAAAAAAAAAAAAAAACAAGGUAACUGACAACCAAGCAGCCCAGCUCAAUCAGUGAACUUCGUGUUCAGUGAGAGACCCUGUCUCAAAAAACAAGGUGGGGAGCAAUUAAGGAAAAGUGAUAUUGCCCUCUGACCUCUGUGUGCACGCACGUACAAGCACACAUUUUAAGAAGGGAUUGCUUUUCAAAACAGACAUGCAUCGAGUAGAUGGCUAUAACAUUAGGAAUUAAAAAUAUAGAGGGAAAAAAAAGCUGCCUCUGGCUACUUCAAUAAUAAUUGAAAUUUAAAAUUUAAAUAGAUUGCAGCAUUACUCAACUACUUAAUAGGAAAAAAAUAUCUCCAGGCAUCUUGGUAAAUGAACAAUUACCUUUAAAGAAAAAAAUUGCCAUUCCUACCAACUAUGCACCAAGAUGCAAACUGCUUUUUUAAUUUAUUGUUUAAAUAAUUGCUAGAUUUCAAAUUCUGUUUGCAAUAGCAGCACUAAGAACUUUUUCAUUUCUUUUCUUUUAUAAAGCAAGGGGAUGACGGUGAAGAGUGCCUGCCGAUGAGGGUGGGUGGUUAUUGUAAGAUGAUUUCUUUAUUUUUAUAUUGUGUGCAUUUGGUGUUUGGCCACCAGAUCUUCUGGAACUGGAGUUUUGGAUCACUUUACAGUUGGAUCACAGCAGACAGUUGUGAGCUGGCAUGUGGAUGCUGGGAUUCAAACCUGAGUCCUCUAGAGGAACUAACUGCCAGUGCUCUUAACUGUUGAGCUAUUUCUCCAGCCCUACUUUUUUCUAUUAUUAAAAGGAAGAGUUUAGAAUAGUAUUUGGUGAAGAAAAAAAAAAUCCUUAAACUGCUCUUCAUCUAUAGGCAGUCUCUAAACAGGCUAACUCUGCAUGAAAGACAGUAUGAAAAGUCUGCUUCCCCUCCAUCGAAAGUGAUGCUAAUUAUAGUAACCAGAAGAUGCCUGCCUGUGGCAGAAAGGCAGAGAAUUCUGUAUCUGUGAGUAUCUCAGGAGGCAGUGUUGACUAAGUUAGACUUGAGGAAGAAAAAACAAUGUCAGCCAGACAUCGUGGUGAAAAGCUUUAAUCCUGACAUUAGGCGGGGCAGAGGCAGGUGGCUCUCUGUGUUCCAGGACAGUCUGUUCUACACAGAGAAACCCUGUCUGUCUCCAAAAGGAAGAGAGACCACUGACAGGGAAAUUAGCUGGGAGGCUACUAAAAUAAUAAUACAAGAUCUGAUAAAAGGCCAGACUAGAGCUAGGGAGAUGGCUGUGGGUAAAACGCUCGCUACACAAGUGUUAGGGCCCAAGUUCAAAUCUCUAAAAUCCCAUGGGAAAGCCAGAGGAGGAGGGACAAUAGCUCACAGGCCAGCUAGCCUGGGGUACACAGUGGGAAAACAAGGUAGAAAGUGUAAAGUGACACGGAAGGCUGACCUCUGACCUCCAGAGGUGCCUGCACUCACACACGGACACACGCACGCAUGUGUGUGCGCACACACACAUACAUAACACGAGAAAUUUAAAAAAUCAUCUGAAUUAAGCAAACGGCAAUGAUAAAAACUCCAGGAGCUACUAUAUUUGCUUGCAUCUUCACAGAGAUUUUUCUUGAUAGAAAAUAGAUUUGCAAUGUAACAAGAAUCAUAAAAUGGUUGCCAUUAACUGCCAUUCCUUACCUCAGACUCUCGAGAGAACAGUACAUUGACAUACCGAUAGGGAAACUUUUCUUUUGCAUCUGUCUUGGCUUUCUCGUCUACAGAAUUAUUUACUAAUAUAAUACAUCUAUUUCCUGCCAUGGGUAAGGGAGGGAACAAGCCUGUAACAAUGGCAAAACCAACUCUCCACGACGUCGUGUCAGGACAGUGCGCUACUGGAUGAGGGCAGCAGUCAUUCCGGAUGCAGACAAUGCUGACCGUCACCAGAUUUAUAACUUUCACUUUAUUUUCCACAAAGAUUAUUUUAUUUACCAAUCUAAAUUGGGGAAAUGCCCUGGGCAAGGCAGGCUUCCCCAUCCACUCCCCAGAUAUGGUCUUUGCCAGUGCUGAUGAUAACCUCAGGCUUCGCUCCUUGUCUCAGCCCCGAAAGCGCUGGCUUGAGUUCUUUUUCUCUUUUCUCUUUAAGUCAAAAUGUUGGACUGAGGAUGUGACUCAGUUGGUGGAGCGAUUUCCAGCACACCCCGAGCCCUGGCCUCCAUUUCUAUUACUAUCUGAAACCAGGCAUGUGGAUGCACACUGUAAUCUCAGCCUUGGAGGAGGGGAGAGAGGACUGAAGACUCAGAAUUAUCCUAAUACAGAUCAACUUCUAGGCCAGGCUGGGCUACAUAAGAUGCUGUUUCAAAACACAACAACAAAAGGCAAAGGCCAUGGGCUGGGUGGGGCUACAGUUCAGUUGGUAGAGUGCUUUCAAACAUGAACAGAGUCCUGAGUUCAAUCUGCAGUACCACAUAACCCAGGAGUGGCGGUGCAUCAGGCCGGUCGGUAGCCCAGUACUCGGGUGGCAGAGGCAGGAGGAUCAAAAGUUCAGUGUUAUCUUCAGCCACAUAACAAGUUCAAAACCACCAUUUCAUAUAAUACUUUUUUUUUUCCAGGACAGGGUCUCUCUGUGUAGCCCCAGCUGUCCUGGAACUCACUCUGUAGACCAGGCUGGCCUUGAACUCAGAGAUCUGCCUACCUCUGCCUCCUUAGUGCUGGGAUUAACCACCCAGCACAUGAUACUCUUUAAAAAAGGAUUGGUGGUAACUCAGACAAUAAUGGUUUUUGCCACCAAGCCUAAUGACCAGAGUUCCAUGCCAAGAACAUACAUGGUGGAAUGAGAGAGCUGACUCCUCCAAAUUAUCCUCUGACCUUCAUGUGACCUCCACACAUGCCCACACAUACAACAAACAAAUGUAAUCUUUUUAAACUAGAAAGAAAGAAAUAAUUCUAUGGGGAAGAGAUGUUUAAAAAUAAAACCUAGUAGUUGAGUUGAACAAUAAAAGAAAAGGGGAAAAAAAAAAAGCUGAUUGAGCAAAGAAAACAAAAGCUCAGAGGUGGGGAGAGAGCACCUCGGUUCUGCAAACUCCAUCAAGAUCUUUAUGAUUGGGGAAUAGUUACCAGCAAGAACACAGGGUAGCUGAGCUGAGAACGGGUGAGGCAGCCAGGAGCAGCCUCAGGUAGGACCCUGCAGGCUCAUCAAGCAGGGCAGCCCCAGCUACAAGCUGAGGACACUAGAUAUGUUUAAGAAGACAGAAAAGCAACACCCUGAAAUAUGCAAAAUUGCCUGCUACUUUGUAGCUUGGACCAGGCUGGUGGGAGGCAGAGCAUUUUGUUUUCAUUUAGAAAUGAAAUGAAAAGGUUUCUAAACAAAAUAAUUAAAAUGCUCCAUUUUGCUUCUCUAUGAGGGGCUAGAGACUUCCUGAAAUGGUUCCCUAAAGACGCGCUGCUCUAAACACGGAAACCUAAGAAUGUGAAUGGGACAUCACUUGAUGGUUGUGUGCUCAUUACGCUGUGCUAGUUUCUCUCCCAGUGCUAGGGAUUGAGCUCAGGGGUCCCACACAUGAGGGAUAGAACUGUUAUCUCGGAGUGAAGUGUACAACUCCAGUCUUUAAAGAAAUAUGUAUUACGUCUAAACCUGUACUGUUUGCCAGGACAACCACUGACCACCCUGUGGCUAAUAAGUGUUCAAGUAGAGAUAGAAUUGUGCUGUCUUUAUAAAAUAUGCACAGAACUUUAGAAACAUGAAAUAAGAAUUUAUAUAUUAUUUAUGUAGAUUACAGAGAGAUUGAAAUGUAAAUGUUUUGGGCACUUCUGGAUAAAUCAGUUAUUAAGACUAAACUAACCUCUUUUUCUUUUCAAUUUUUUUCUCUUUUAUUCAAGAUAGGAUUUCCCUACAUAAUCCUGGCUGACCUCAUUGUAUAAUCCAGACUGGCCUCAAACUCACAGCAAUCCUUCAGCCUCAGCCCACUGACUGCUGAGGUUACAGCUACUACACCAGCUCUUUUCACUUUCUGCUGUGUGAUUGAUGCAAAAUUUAAAACAAUACGUGUGACUCAUAUACAUUCCUAUCGAAUAGGGGGUUGGGGGGGGCGGGGUUAGCUGAAUGGUGAAGCAUCUGCCUAGCAAAUACACAGCCUUGGUUCAAUCAUCAGCUGCAAGAAAAUACAACAAAACAAACAAAAAAACCAGGGCCGGGCAGUGGUGGCGCACGACUGUAAUCCCAGCACUUGGGAGGCAGAGGCAGGUGGAUUUCUGAGUUCAAGACCAGCCUGGUCUACAGAGUGAGUGCCAGGACAGCCAGGACUGCGCAGAGAAACCCUGUCUCGAAAAAAACAAGAACAAACAAACAAAACAACAACAACAACAACAAAAAAAAAAAGGUAACCUACUCGAUAGAGCUGGUCUACCAUUCUGGGCACUCAUUCCUCUUCUACAGUGUUCCAAAUCGGGAUUAUAAUCAGCCAAAAGUAUUUGUCUCUAGAUAGCUGUGUAAAAAUGCAAGCAAGGUGUUAUAGCAAAUGAAAUAGCAACAAGAAGGGAUAGAGAGAAGCCGGGCGUGGUGGCGCAUGCCUUUAAUUCCAGCACUCAGGAGGCAGAGGCAGGUGGAUUUCUGAGUUCGAGGCCAGCCUGGUCUACAAGGUGAGUUCCAAGACAGCCAGAGCUAUACAGAGAAACCCUGUCUCGAAAAACCAAACCAAAAAAAAAAAAAAAAAAAAAAAGAAGGGACAGAGAGAUGGCUCAGUGGCCCAGCACCUGCAUGACAGCAUACCACUGUAACACCAGCCAGUGCCCUCUUCGGCCUUGCCAGGUACUGAGCACACACAGAAUGCAACACACACACAAGAUUAAAUUUACUUACUUUUAAAUUUAUUUAUAGAAUGGAGGGUUUUUCUGAGGCUUAUGGUUCGAAGGGUUAUGAUAAGAGUCCCUCACCAUCAGAGAGGGGUAAACAAAAUUUUAAAUAACAAGAAUGUAAGGAAAGCAGACCUCUCACAGUGCUAUUAGACAAAGCAAUUUGGUAAUAUUGAUACAAAAUAUCAAUCGGACCAUUCUUCUUCUAAAUAUACAACUCAGAAAGUUAUGAACAUAUGCAUAUGGAGACAUACCCAAAGUGUAGGGAAUUUAUAGGGCAGAGGUCACUGGCUAUUUUUCCACAAUGUGGAGUUGCUUCUUGAAAGCAACUGCCAUGCCAGAGACUUCAUUUCCCAUACUCCUUUGUUGGGGAAUGCAGGCCAUGGUGCACAUGACUAGUCUAGCCAAUGGAACAUGAAGAAAAAUGAUACAUCUAUGCUACCUUUAACGCCUGGCCUCUAAAACCCGCAAACACCAGUCUCUCUCUAAUGGUUAACUGAUGGAUGCUGAUGCCUACAGCAACUUUGCAAAGCUCCAGAGCUUCUAUCAGCCUGGCUCUCUCUCACCAAAGCCAUGAGACACAGAUCCUUCUUUGCUACUGAAGGGACUCCAAGCAAGCAAGAAAUUAACGUGAUAAAACUUUGAGGUUUCAGGAUGUUUCCAUUAGGACAACUAGUGUUAACUUUCUGAUAUGUGAAUACUAUCUCCAAAAUGGAAGCGACCCACAUGUCCACCACAAUGAGAUUGAAUAAAUAAUCACAGCCAAGGAAAAAACAGAAUGUAGUAGCUAAAAAUGGGAAGAUAAAAGAACUACUUCUACUGGGUACAUCUGUUUUUCAAAGGUCUUUAAAAAGCUCAUUACCAAAAAAACCAAAAACCUCACUAUGUGUUGACCAAAUCAUGUGCAGUUAAAUGUAUUGUAGGCUGGGGUUUUUUGUUUUUUGUUUGUUUGUUGGUUGGUUGGUUGGUUUUCGAGACAGGGUUUCUCUGUAUAGCCCUGGCUGUCCUGGAACUCACUUUAUAGACCAGGCUGGAAUCGAACUCAGAAAUCGGCCUGCCUCUGCCUCCUGAGUGCUGGGAUUAAAGGCGUGCGCCACCAUGCCCGGCUACAGGCUGGUUUUGAACUUGCAGCAAUUUUUCUGCCUCAGCCUCUGGGUGCUGGGAUUACAAGUAUGAGCCACCACACUUGGUUCCAUAAGAAGUGUUUCAUUUCCUUAAAAUAAUUGAAAAUGUAGUAAUAUGUUGAAACUAAAUAAUGAAUAUAUUAGCAUUUUGUCUCAUUAUUCUGUUUUUUUUUCAAUAAAUUACUUUAUAAUACUAACGCUCAUUUCUUUAUACUGUCAUGCAUGGAUGGUCAAAGAAUAUAUAAACUGAGAAAUGGGCUCACUGAUGGUUUAUUUCAUCUCUGUAGGAAUAUCAUAUAGUGUACUUACUCAAAAAUACUAUGUCACUAGGUAAUAUAAUCUUACUGUACCAACAUUGUAUGGUCCGCCGAUGUAACAAAUAUUGUUAUAACUUAUGUGACAAAAAAAAAUACCUGCUUCAAGUAUAAAAUAGUAAAAUCAUGUUAAAAGACAUUAGAGCUAGGUAACUAGGUAUCAAAAACCUUAAAAUAAAUACAUAAAUAUUUUGUUGUUGUUUUGCGUUUUUGUGGGGGUUUGAUUUUAUUUUUAUUGAGACAGGAUCUCUCUAUGGAGCCCUGGUUGUCCAGAAACUUCCAAGCUGGCCUGGAACCCACAGAGAUCCACGUAUCUCUGUCUCCCAAAUACUGGAAUUAAAAGUGUGCGCCACCAUACCCAGAUGUAAAUAUCUUUUAAUAUAGCAAUCUCAAAUCCAGAAAGAAGUCUUAAGAAAAUGAGACUUAUCCAAAGGAUGAUCACCACAAUAUCCUCGAGUAAUCAAAAGCUGGGAACACCUAACUUGUUCUUAGAACUCAAAUUACUGAACACGCACAGAAAAUCCUAUAGGACAUAAUGAGAGAAGUGAGGAGAAAUGUGACUUUAUUUAUUUAUAUAUAUAUAUGUAUAUACAUGAGAGAGAGAGAGAGAACCAUAGAUUGCCUGCAUCUUAGAAGGGACUUUGGACGUUAAACACCUUUAGAACUGUAAGACUAUGGGACUCAUGUCAUUGGACUGAGUUUAUUUUGCAUUACUAGGUAGAUGGCAACAAGCCAAUGGGAGAAGGGACAGAAAACUAUAGCUUGGAUGUAAAAUGUGCAACACGGGGUCAUACAUUUGAACACUGCUGUUUGGGAAGGGUGUGGAACAUUUUAGAAGGGGUCUCGCUGGUAGACACAGGCACACAGGGGCAGGGUUUAGACAGUUCUAGGUAGCCCAGUUCUGGCUCAACAUUUCCAUUUCCUCAUCUAUCUAGAUAGAACAUGUCACACCUAAAGCUCUGCCACCAUAAAGGGCAUCCCACCCACCAUGCUUCUCUGUAUCCUUUUCCCCUAGGCUGCUUCUUGCUUCUGUUGAAUAUUUUUUUUUCUCAGCAACAAGUCACACACACACACACAGAGCAUGCACGUAUAAUUUGUCAACUUGUCAGGGUCUGCCUAUGAGGGAGUUGCAAGACUGGCUUAAAUGAGAUUGGAAGAUGCACUAUGGCCGGCACUAUCUCAUAGCCAGAGUCCUAGGAUAAACUUGAGAAGGCAAGCGAGGUGCUGGCGCUCACUUCCAUCUGCUUCCUGCCGGUGUUCUCCUGCUCUGUGGCUGCAGCUGCAUCCUCAAGCUGUGAGCCAAAAUAAACCCCCCUUCCCUUCUCCUGCUUUUGUGAGAUGCUUUGUCAGUGAUGAGAGAAACAAGCAAUGCACAGGACCUUGGUAUUAUAACCCAGGUUAGCUAAACUCACCAUCCUCCUGCCUCAGGCCUCUAAGUGCUGGGGGUUAUGGGCUUGUUUUGUUUGCAGUGCUGGGAUCAAACUGCUUGUCAUGCCUAUGCUACACAUGUUCUCUGCCACUGAGCCACAUCUUCACCCCACUACACCAACCUCUCUCUCUUUUAAUUCCCCACUUUAAAACAUGGUUUCACUAUGGAGCCCUGGCUGGCCUCAAACUCAGAAAUCUACCUGCCUCUGCCUCCCAAGCGUGGAAAUGAAAGGUCUGUGCCACCAGGCCAAGACCAGUCUUUUUGUUUGUUUGUUUGUUUUUUAAAGAUGUAUUUGUUUAUUUUAUGUAUGUGAAUACACUGUCAUUGUCUUCAGACACACCAGAAGAGGGCAUCAGAUCCUGUUACAGAUGGUUGUGAGUCACCAUGUGGUUGCUGGGAAUUGAACUCAGGUCCUCUGGAAGAGAAGUCAGUGCUCUUAACUGCUGAGCCAUCUCUCCAGCCCUGUUUGCUUGUUUCUGAGACAGGAGACAGGGUUUCUUUAUGUAGCCCUGGAUGAACUCACUAUGUAGACCAGGCUGGCCUUAGAAUCAGAGAUCCACCUGCCUGUGCCUCCUGAGUGCUGGAAUUAAAGGCGUGUGCCACCACUGCCCAGCAGACAUUUCUUAUAUACCAAUGUUUCUUAAACACACAACACUUUUGCUUGAAUUCUACUCGUUUCUGAAACAUACUAUCUUUUUUGGAAAAAUUAUGUUUAACUAAGUAGGGCACAACAAAAGUUUUAUGCAGUAGGCAGUGGGUAGGGUACACCUUUAAUCCCAGCACUCGGGAGGCAGAGGCAGGUAGAUCUCUGAGUUUGAGGCCAACCUGGUCUACAGAGUUCCAGGACAGCCAAGGCUACAUUAAAAACAACAACAACAACAACAAAACAACAACAACAAAACUUGUGUUUCUGUUACAAAGUUCAAUCUUAAACUUAAAAAAAAUAUAUUAAUGGGUGUGCAUGGGCAUGAGUGUGUGUGUGUGUGUGUGUGUGUGUGUGAGUGUGUGUGAGUGUGUGAGUGUGUGAGUGUGUGUGUGAGUGUGUGUGUGUGUGUGUGUGUGUGUGUGUGUGUGUGUUGGGUUCCGGGGAUGUGGUGGGCGGUAUGCACACAGAAGCAGGAGAAGGAACUGGAUCCCUCACAGCUGGAGUGUGGACGUUACACCCGUCUUGUUAGGGAGUGCCAGGACUUUAAUUAUGGUCCUCAUCCUUGCAUAGCAAGCCCUCAGUCUCUGAGCCAUCUCUCUAGCCCCCAGUUAUUGCAGAAAAAUUUAAGUUAUUUGUCCAUUUCAUGAGAACUAAAAAAUUUUAAACUGGGAAAUAUAAUCCUUAAUUUUAUUUAAUCAGGCACAGGUGAACUGCACAGUUUACAAUGCCCUAAAAGUUAGAGCAGGCACCACUAUUAAUCUCUGAGUCACAGGUUUACUGCGAAAUCAGCUGCGUUCAGAGCAAAUUACCAAUUUCCAUAAUUACAGCAAAUAUUAAUAGCACUGUCUUCUUGGCACUACUGGGGAUUGGAUCUGAGGUCUUCCUUAUGCUAGGCAAGAGAUUCACCACUCAGCUACAUCCUCAUCUUCAACUCUUGCAUUUUGGAAGUGCAUGCUAUGUGUCCUUAAACUUGCUGUAGCACAGGCUGGCCUCAAAUGGGCCAUCCUACAGCCUCCAUCUUCAGAUUGCUGAGAAUUACAGUUAUGCACUACCGUGCCUGGCUUAAUUCUAUAUUUUGUAUAUAAUAGAUUUUUACCAUUUUUCUUUUGCUCUUAUGAAUUUAGCUACACCUUACUGUAAAGAUCACCGGUUGAAUGGAGGAGAUAUAGACAUUAGACACGAGUGAAACAAGAGCUUAUAGAGUAUGCGCUGGGCAGUCUGGAAGGGGACAUAGAAGGGUCACAGGUCAUCAUAAGUGUGGGGAUGGUUUCCUAAACAAUGCACAAAAGAUUGGGCUGAGUGGUGGAUGGAGUGCAUUCCCAGCAGAGUAAAAGACACGAUUGGGGAAAUGCAGAUAUUAUUUUUUUUCUUUUCCAUUUUUUAUUAGGUAUUUAGCUCAUUUACAUUUCCAAUGCUAUACCAAAAGUCCCCCAUAGCCACCCACCCCGGAAAUGCAGAUAUUAAAGAGAGAAUAAGAUAUGCACACUGUCUUAGUCUGCUAUAGCUGUGUAGUUGCUAGAAGUGGAUGGGGAGAGGGAUACAAAGUCUCACUCCCUACAGCUCGGCUUUGCCUAAAGAAAGGUCCAGCUUUGUCCUCGGGUCUGAGGAGGAACGUCUCCAGAAUCUCUGAUUACAUCAGAGAUAGUCCUAAGUGUAGAUGCCAGUGAGAAUUCUGAAAACUGGGACUUGGGUGGGACUCAGAAUGUCAUACUCUGAGCACUGCGCCACAUAUUUGCACUGGAUGAUGUACUCCUGAGCAUAGGACACUCUUGACUUCUGCUGCUUUUGUAGAGUACACCUCUUCCUUGGGCUGGUUUUAAUCUAUACCUUGUCCUUGCAAUAAACUAUAUUCAUAGUGGUCAAUGACUUCUAUUUGUCUUUCUAGAGAAUUCCUGGAUUUGAGGGUAGUUUUGAGAAACCCCAAACAUUCAGCGCUGGUCUUAGAAAUGAGGGUGGUCUUAUAUGAUCUCUUUCUUCUAAACUUUGUUGAAAUUCUGUCUUUAAAGUUGGGAUCAGAAGUCUUGUAUUAACUCACACAGUAAAAGAAGAGAACUGACUCCCAGAAGCGCGCACACACACACUAUACAUAUAUAUGUAAUAUUAUUACUAAUAUUAGUGUAUAUGUACAGUAAUAUAUAUUAGUAAUACAUAUUACUACUAAAAUUUUUUAAUGUUUUAGUAUAACACUUAAAAAAUCUAUAUAAUCUGAAGCUGGAGAGAUGGCUUGGUGGUUAAGAGCACUCACUGUUCUUCCAGAGGACUCAGGUUCAGUUCCCAGCACCCACAUGAUGGCUCACAACCAUCUGUUAACUAUGCAUGUGGUGCACUGACACAGACAUAUGUCAACUAAACACAGAGAGAGAGAGAAUAAAUAAAACUUAAAAAGAAAAAAAAUCUAUAUGACUCAGUCCGAUAGUAGUAACUCUGGCCACAAAAAAAGGUAAAUAAAAUGAACAAGAGGGAAUAGUGUAAGUGAAACAUUUACAAGGUUAAAUAGACAAAUCAAAUGUGAUAUCAGGAAUAUGCUCACGACAAAAAGUAUCAGGUGUCAGGCUGGAGCUGGAGCUGAGGGUGUAAGGCUAACCUAGCUUGAAAUCCCCACAACACAGCAAACAGCCACUCCCAGAUUACCAGGGUUUUAGACACCAGGUGGAAGCUGUUCCAUUAUCAGUCAAAGCAAGGAUGGAGGCAGAGCUGGGAGCCAUUAGCACAACCACAACAGCCAAUCACGUGAGUGAAUGGUAUUGAGGACAGAGCAGUCUUGAGAUGGUCAAGGACAGAACAUCGGCAUAAGAAGACGGGAAAGGCUAUUUGAAAACUCUCAGCAAAGUGCCAGCCUCAAAGGCCAAGAGAAGAGAAAACCUUGGGAACUACGACUGACACUAAGCUGUAUUUAUGUCACCCUUUUUGUGUGUGUAAGUCGUCUCCACUUUUUUUAGUGACUUUAUUACUCUUUAUAAGGAAGUGUUUCAUUUUUGAGAUGAGUGAUGAUUUUCAUGUGCAUGUACGUAAAAACGAAACAAAGCUGAACGAUUUUCUGACCUUUCCCAAAGUCAUUCAUGAUUCAACAGAACUGAAUUAUUAGUGUCUAUAACUGGUGAUUUUGUCUUCCAAACCAUUCUAAAAGUGCCAUCUUCAAUGCUACAUCGAGCCAUCUGUAACUACUUAACUUCGCCAGCCUGCUGUGAUAGCUCCCUUCCCCUUGGGAAGCCCAUCCCAGCCGAAAGGAAUAACCGAGAAAACAACUGCUUUGAAAAUGUGACAACUCAGCUUUAAAAUGAGACUUCAGUGUAUUUGAUCCUCACAGAUUAAAACAAAUUGAUUCUUAGUGUUGCAUGGGGCUGGGGGACGCACAGUACUGACUGACUUAUUAAUCUAUGCAAGUUGCUUAUACCCUCGAAUUCAAGUUGAAUAUAACAUCAGUUAUAAUGUCUUAAGUGAGAAUUAGGAAGUCAGGAGAUGUGGCUUAAUGGUAGAAUGGAUACCUACCAGGAGAAAAGGAGCCAGGCAUGGGAUCCUAGUACUUGGAAGAUGAAAGCAGGAGAACCUUUCCAUAGGUGGGAUGGGAGCUGUUGAUAUUUUAAAAUUAUUGCUCUUUCAAAAUUACAUGUUGCUUUUGCCUAGGAAUGGGAUACUGAUAUACAAGUUUUAUAUUUUGAAGCAGUAAGGUAAAAUUUUUAUCCUAAAUAUUACUCUAAAAUACUUUUUAGCCAGAGAUGGUAGCUUACCCCAUUAAGCCCAACACUUAGGAGACAGAGGCAGGAGAAUCUCUAUAGGUUCCAAGCCAGCCUGGUCUACAUAGUGAGCUACAGGGCAGGCAAGGCUAUACUGAAACCUUGUCACAAACACCCAAAUCUCAGCCUAGUGGUGGUGGCUUGUGCCUUUAAUUCCAGCACUCAGGAAGCAGAGGUGAGUGGAUUCCUGUGAGUUCGAGGCCAGCCUGGUCUACAGAGUGAGUUCCAGGACAGCCAGGUCUACACAGAGAAACCUUGUUGAGAGAAAACAAAACAAAACAAAAAUCCAAAUAAACAACAAAACCAAACCUCCUCUCAAAAAGAUUUCUUUACUUUUAUUUUUUUGUGUGUGAACUGUAUAUAUGUACACCACAUCCGUGCUUGGGCCCAUUGAGGAUAGGAAAGGGCACAGGAUCCAUUGAAGUGGAGUUAAAGGUAGUCAUGAGCCACUAGACAUGAGUGCUGGAACCAAAUCUCCAUCUGUAUACAAUAGCAGCAAGCGUCCUUCUCCAGCUUCUAAGACAUUUUCAAGUUGUCUAAACCUUCACUCUUUUCUUAGCUACAUAACUUGGUUUUGUUGCUGCUGCUGUUUGAGGGGUUUUGUUUUGGGACAGGGCUGCUAUGUAGCCUGGCUAUUCUGGAAAUCUCUCUGUAGAUCAGACUGGUCUCAGAACUCAAACAGAUCAGCCUGCUUCUACCUCCCUAGUACUGGGAUAAACGGUGUGGGCCAGCACUGGCCUGCGAUCUUGCUAACUGUUUUAAGUCACUUCUGAGUUUACCAAGAUUAGGAAUAACAGAUGUCUUCUGUUCUUAGUCUCAAAUGUGAGAGAACCAAAUAAUGGAGGAAAAUGUGUUACUAUACUACACUCCUAAGCAAAAUUUCAGCUGGGCAUGGUGGCAAAGGACUGGGAAUAUAGCCCAGUGAACUUGGUGAACAUGCAUGAGGCCCUAAGUUCAAUUCCCAAAACAGGUGAAGAGAAAACACUGAGAGAAGUUGAUAUAAUGUAUCUUUUUAAGUCUUCUUUAUCUAUUUGUGGUCAGCUUUACUUCUAGGGACAGGAGAGAAGACUUGGUGGUUAAGAGUCUCAAAAAACCAAAAAAAAAAGAGCACUUACUGCUCUUCUGAGGACUGGAGUGGGGUUCCCAGGACCCAUGUGUCAGCAAUUAGCAUCAGCCUGUCACUGCAGCUCUAGAAGAUUCUACACCCCUGGCUUCUGCAGGUGCCUGCACUCACACACACAUACCUACAAAGAGGCACAUAAUUUUCCCAGACAUUUGAGGUCAUCAUUCCCUCUGUGACAGGUGUUUUGAGAGUCGGAGAUUAAGCCAGGAAAUGUUGGAAUCAUUUCUACAAGACUCGUUUUUUGCUUUUUGGUUUUUUUUCCAAAUCUGGAUAGAGGCCUCACAUGUAAAAUGAAGAGCUUGAACAAAACAAUGGCCGAACACUACAGUUGGCUGAUCCUGAUUCUCCUAAGUCUUUUUUUUUUUUUUUUUUUUUUUUUUUGGUUUUUGGUUUUUCGAGACAGGGUUUCUCUGUGUAGCCCUGGGUGUCCUGGAACUCACUCUGUAGACCAGGCUGGCCUUGAACUCAGAAAUCCGCCUGCCUCUGCCUCCCGGGUGCUGGGAUUAAAGGCGUGCGCCACCACGCCCGGCUUUUAUCUGGUGUUUUUUUUUGGAAUAAAAUAAAAACUAAAAAUGUCAUUACACAUUUUGAAACAUUUUUUUCAUUUUGAAACUUUUACACCCACUAAAAACCUUAAAGAUACAUCACAUAAACGAGCCAGCCAUUUUAUCUCGACUAGCAUCAGAAUAAAAUACAGUACAAAGUCUGAUAUUAUGUGAAGUCAGAGUAUAAGUGUCCAAUUUAAGGGGAAAUAAUAUUUUCUAGCUGUAAUUUUGCUAGUUUUAACUCAAACACAAACUUCUGUGCUUCAUUGGCAAUCACCUUCUCAUCGUAAUCAUUUUUCUAAUUGAUAUGUACAUUUUGAUUAAUCUUGUUUCCUUAUCACAUUAAAAAUAAAAAAACACCCACAUCUUACCAUUUCAUUCUGUGCAUCUCAGUUUUAAAAGCCUUGAAAUGUUCAGACUGUACUACAUUAAUGGCAGUAUGGGAGCGUCCCUAAUCCUUAAAUUGUUCUGGGAGCAUAUGUGUAAGGGUAAAAACUGUCCAGAUAGUACUAGUCUGAGAUAAAUCCCUUCACUUUGGUAAAUACUUCCACUAUAUUUAAGUGUCUGAAUCAUGUAAUUUUUUUAAAAUGGCAUUCUGUAGGUCCUUUUCUGUGAUAGUUAAAAAAAAAAAAAAAGAAAUACUCAACCAUUAAUGCUGUUUAUCCCCAGGUGGUGGUAUUACACGCCAUUUUAUUUUUGCAUUUCCCCAAAACACACAAUUCCCCUGGUAAUUGAACAGUAUUUUAAAAUUAAUUACUGGAUGGUUUAUAAAGUGUGGCAUCCGCACAGUCCAAUUCUACAGAUCUGCUCAGUGGCUUUUCCCUUUGACAGGCUGCUGCUUUUAACAGGAGAAUGGUUUGAUCAGUUGUCUAUGAGGUCUGAUGAAGACAAAAUAGCUUUCUUUUCUAGCCCCCUCCAGGCUUUGGAGAAAUCCAGGAAGUGGGUUUGAACUUAGCCGCAGUGAAUCUUGCGAUAGUAAACUUUUGGGGUGGUCAGAGUAACACCUUUCAUUACAACUAUUAGCUGAAUGGCAAAAGACUCUCGGGUUUCCCAGUGUUUGCAGAGGCAUUAUUUCAGAACAAUUCCAUUUGGAAAGAAACGCGAUUGUAAACCGUUUCUAUUUCAAGCCCAUAAAAAGCAGAACUCGGAUGAAAGGCAAAGCCUUGACCUUUCUAUUUUAGACUUGCAUCUGGGUAGCUAAGCCAUCUGCUUUUCUCCCACCUCCCACCCCAUCUACUUAAUGGACUGAAAAUACUGCACUUAAUUGCAAUUUUAUCCAACCAGGCUGACUUUUCUGACUUACGACCUCGUCUUUUCACCUAACGGCUUGCUCGGUAGGGUUUUACUUACCCUUCCUUCCCAAUUCCUCCCUACCGCUCUCAAUUAUAUGCUGUCAAAUGUCUGCAAAGUAUGAUACUAGGCUCUCACGUAAGAAAGCCAUCUAUAGAGCCUUUUCAUUUCAACAGUGAGCGCCUGACGGAAAAUCUAGGGGUCUGGGCUCCUCUGGGCACCGACGGUAUUAGCUUUGUUGCGGUUAUGUAGAAAGGCACCUCUUACUGCCUGUAAAGGAGUCGCGCGUCCCCACCGCCCAACAAGGAACGCAGCCCGGGAAAGGACAGACAGACGAAGGUGGGAGGAAACCCCGGGAAGAAAGGCGCAGGGAAGAAUGGGGAGCCCAAGACGGGAGGGAAGACCUUGGCAGGAAGGUUCUGGAGGAAGGUGUGCGAAGUGGCCGAGAAGCUGGCCGAGAGGGCCAGCGAAGAGGGGCCGGGGGCAGGCGGGGGGGACCCCGCCCGGGUGCCCCGCGGGGACAUGGGUAGCGGGGACGGGAACCCAGGCCGGCACCCCGGGGAUGGCGGCCCACCCGCGGCCGAGCCCCGCUACUUAACUAUUUGUAGAGCUGCUGCAGGCACAGGUCCAGGCUCUCGCCCUCCACCUCCUCUCGGGUGAUGCGCUCCGACAGCGGCCGUGGGAGCGGGGGCAGCGGUGGCAGCUGGGGCUGCGGCGGUGGCGGCACGGCCGAGUGCCCCGGGGCAGCCGCUUCCUCCUCUUCCUCCUCCUCGCCCUCCGUCGCCGUCUCCUCCUCCACCGCCUCGUCUUCGGGCUCGGGGUCUUGGUCCUGCUCCCCCUCCUCGGUCGCCUCUACCGUCGCAGCGUCCUCCCCCGGUUCCUCCCCCGAAGCCUCGGCCGCCUCAGCCGCGACUAGCUCGGCUUCGGGCUCGGGCUCGGGCUCGGAUUCGGGUUCGGGCUCUGGCUCGCCGCCACCGCACGGUCCGCGGAACUCGCCCAGGAACAGCUCCAGGAAGCGCCGAUGAGGAAACAAGCCUUCAAAACAGUGACUUUGCUCAAGGUCAAAAGCAAGCGAUGCAACAAGAAUUCAAUCCGAGAUUGAAGUGGUAGAUUUCACUUGCUUCAUGGUGAUGAUGUUGGUGGUGGGUGCUUUGAAGAUGCUGUGCUGUACAGCUGUAUGGAUGAUAGCAUCAUUGCUGCAUACUACCACGUCCACGGCAGCAUGUAAUUCAGCACAAACAUAGUGAUUUUUCCCCUCUGCUUUGAAAAAACAUGUACUCACAAAUUAUCCACUCCAUCUCUCCAUUUAUUGUUUCUGGGUUUCAGCUGGAUUUAGGAUCAGAAAUACCAUUUCCAGUCAGUUAUUAAUGACAGAAGAGGGUGCGUUCUCACCAACUGUUUUCCUAUAAUGCUGUAUUUUUAAAUCCCUGACCCGAUACUGUUAUUUUAAGAUUAAGUGGGUUGAACUUACUAAUGGUAUCAUGUAAAAUAGAGUUCUAUGCUCUCUCCUAGGUCAAGAUUAAAUAAUACAUGAUAGAAAGUGUAUAGUAAAUAAUGCACUUAGAAUUUUUUCUAUUUUUUUUCCUAAGAUGAAUGGAAAGACCAAACUAGUCUGUAGAAAGAAACUGCUCCAUGGGAUGCCAAGAAAGCCCUCAAAGUCAUUUGUUUUCGACCUACUUGCUUACUGCCAUUUCAGAAAAACUAGAGAAGAGCUGGGGUGCUGGCACAACCCUUAAUCCCAGUACUCUGGAGGCAGAGACCAGUGGUGCUCUGAGUCCUAGGUCAGCCUGGACUGUCAAGUCCUAGGUCAUCCAAGGCUAUGUAGUAAGACCUUUAAUAAUAAUAAUAAUAAUAAUAAUAAUAAUAAUAAUAAUAAUAAUGGAGUGACAACUUUCUAGGCUGCAGCAACUUUAAACGCCAAUUUUACAUUCCAACAAACUCUUACUAUCCCCAAUUUUAACACAGUGACAUUUUAGUUCAGGAGUGCAUAGCUGUCAAUGCUAACAAUUCAUGUCAAGCUUCUUACAUCAUAACGUAGCAGCCUCCCUCAUUUAGAUGACAUUUGUGACAUUAAUUUAUGACUCAGCCCACACAUCAAAAGGGAAAUGAUAUAUGUUGGUAAAACAGUACUUCUAAGAAUAAAAGAAAAAACCCACACCUCUGCUGCUGGAAAUGAGAGGCGUCUUUGCUUAUAUUAAUGAAGACACUUUUUUACAAAGAUCAAUAUAGAUCCUAUUGCAUUCUUCUUAGCAAGAAAGCUUUGUCAGUGGCUGCUGGCAGAGGUGGUGGGAUCUCAAAGCCGCUGUGUAGGUGGGCUGGCCGAUGUCGAGUCGCAGUUCGUCCUUCCUAUCACCCUGCUUCCCUGUCUCCUCACACCUCCAGGUCCAUUCUAUUGCGUUUUUAUCUAAUAGAAAAUGUGACGAGCCCUGGCACAUUCUCAGACUCUCAGAGUCAUUUUCUACAUUCGCUUGGUUUUUCUCGGACCACCUGAACAUCCUUCCCUGCUCUCAACAUAGCCCGUUCUUUUUUCUCAUCUUUGAAUUUGUGUGCAUCUUCUCUGGAAAAUAAGACCAGACUUUACCGCCAUUGUAUUUUAAAGUAAAUUUCAUUAUUAGCACUUGAUGUGAUUUUAGGAUUUGCUGAAAUAUGUAAUGAACUUUUUCAUUAAAACUCAAGCCAUGAAAAAGCAUAAUGUAUGUA